rnacentral:lncRNA from 1 species
AUUAUCUUAAUUAUUAAUAAUUUUUAGUCAGCUACCGUAUUUUCAAAAUUUUUGUUUUACUAUCUAAUUUUUCAACUUAUUUUUUGAUUUGAAUCAGACAAUAAUAUUUUUACUUCAAAAUUUAAACUAAUUAAUUAUUUUAUUACAAUUAUAAGAAUUAUAUGAAGUAUAAUAUAAUAAAUAAAUCGGUAAGGAUAAACAAUGCAGCUAAAUUUGAAAAAUCAAAAUAUUACUGACUGACUCUGAUUUAAAUCAAAUAAAUUAAAAAAUUAAAUAAUAUAAUUAAAAUUUUAAAAGAUUAAAUAGUUGACUCAAAAUAAUUUAUAACUAAACUGAUUUCACUGUGCUCUUAUUUUGAAAGAAUUGUGCUCACCGUUAGAACUUAAUUAGAGGUGUCUCGCCAGUAAGGUUUAUUUAUUUAUUAUUUAUUUUGUUGGUGGGAAAAGUAAGAUCUCUUAAUUGCAUCAUUCCUCUACUAGACUAGUGAUUCGAUAUGACAGCCUAGAACGAGGUGCAUGUUCCGCUCAACAACUAUACAAAGCGUUCGGCAGUAGUAGUCCUCAGCCCCAUACACUGUAGGGAAUUUAUUAAUCUCACAUGUUGUAUAAAUGCAUUGUAACCGCAAAGAAAAUAACACCCGAACCAAUAGUACUCUGAAAAUAACACUUCCGUAAUGCUACGACUUUGUCACUAAAAAUUUUUUACUUAAAUAAUUUAGUUUGGUAAACUUUAAAUUUAAGCAUAAUAUAAUAUGCACUCUAUUUUAAUCUUGUUUAAACAAUCAUAUCAACUCUACUGUAUGCUAAAUGACAAUUUUUAUCACAAAAUGGUCGUUUUUUUUGCUGCUUAUACUCGUGUAUUAAAGUCCCUUGCAACAAAAGAACCUUUCUUUACUGCAUAAAGGCUUUCAUUCACUUUGCUUUCUCUUGCGACAAUGAGCAGAACAGUGCAUGGGAGACAGAAGAGCAGCAGUGGAAGUUCAUAUGACAACCUCAGUUACUAUUAUUAUUAUUAUUAUUAUUAGCAAUAUGUGAUCUAAAGACUCAAAAAGCCUCAUGAAUCCAGAUGGGAUCCUUCAAUUAUUUUAAUAGGGGGAGGGGGGAAUCUAAAAAUUGUUGGGCCUGAUGACAAGACAGGGAACGAAAAAUUGUUGGGAAAGGUGUGAGAGACAGUUGUGAGAGGAUGGGCUGUCUUUCCUACCUAUUUAAGGAGCCUCUGGACCUCUUCUGUAGGAGAAUUAAAGGAAGAUGAGAUAUUUCAAAACCAUGGCAUAAAAUAAUAUCUGAAGAGGGCCUCUUUCAUUCUUCUGAUAACUUGUCAGAUGGUUCAAACUAUUCUUUGAGUUUCCAGGUGGUGGACUGGUGGGUAUUCAAAUUCAGCUCAUUUAAUGAUGUGGGUUUUGAAUGAUAUUGGUGAUUCAACUCUUACUGGAUUGUAUGGCCUUGUCCUCAUCUUUUAUUUUCUAUAUAUAUAUAUAUAUAUAUAUAUAUAUAUAUAUAUAUAUAGAGAGAGAGAGAGAGAGAGAGAGAGAGAGAGAGGUAGGUCAGAGACAUAAAAGUUCUUUUGGCAGUGACAAUUUAAGUGUGUUAUAGGUGACUGGUCUAUUUAUUUGCCUUGCCCAUUUAAUAGGUUGGAGAUAACAAUUAAUACAUUCCCUCUCUUCAUAUAUCUGGCUUUGUAAACAGUUGUCUCCUCCUUCAAUCCUUGUGGCCUAAUGGAGUCCUCCCAGCUCAUUGGAGAUGCUGAAGAGUGCAGCAGCAGUGAAUCUGGGUGGACCAUGUACCUUGCAUCUCCCAUGCAUGAUGAUACUAACAUGCAUGAUGAUGGUGGUGAUGGUCAUGAUGAUGGUGGUGAUGGUCAUGAUGAUGGUGGUGAUGGUGAAGUUGAUCAAGGCCAUGAUGCGGUUGCUGGUUAUUAUUGUGAGAGCAGUGGCAGCAGCAAUGCAAGUGUUGGUUGCAAUGAAGCCGAUCAUGGAGAUGACUCAUUGGCCUCUGAUGCUUCUACAGGGCCUGCUCAGAAGAUUGAACCAUGCUCGAAAUGUGAUGGUACAGAUGCCAUGGAUUAUCCCAAAGAUGAUGUCAAUGGUGAUGAUAAUGAUAAUGAUAAUGAUAAUGAGAUUUAUAGCCAGUUUUCUUCAAGCUUAUACAAGAGAAAAGAGAAGGUGGAGAAGAGGGGAGAUGGCAAAUCUCCAAGGCCUUUUCUGAAGGGAGCUGGUUCUUCCAGGAGCAGCUCUGAGGUAAGGAGGAAUAAGUUGAUUGGUAAAUAGUUUUAGAAGCUUCCUAGAUUUGCUUUUCUCUUUUCUCUUCUUUUUUUUUUUUUUCUUUUUGGCUAAGAUUGUGAAAUCUAUGAGCUAGUAGAUUUUCCUUGGGAGUUCCUCUGCAGACAACCUGAGAACAAUGAUCUUGCACAUGGAUUCAAAUGCCCUGUCAGCUGAAAUUUUUGAGAAAUAUUGUAGCUUAGUUUCUCAAGUUUCGGAACUUCUCUUUGUGGGACGAAAUGUUUGAUUUGUGACUCUCUGUAUUUAUCAUCUUGCAAUAUUGCCUACCUUUUGACGUCCAGCACGAUAUAUAAUAUAUAAACACAAGAAGCAUAAGUUGACAUACAGUUAUCAAACAGUUUCAGAAGAAAAGGAACCACUUUGUUAGACUCAGGGGUUAAUCACCUUUAUUUUAUUGCAUAUAUAUAUAUAUAUAUAUAUAUAUAUAUAUAUAUAUAUAUAUCAAGGCUUUUAUUUUCAGUCCCCACCCAACACCCCGGCCAAAAAUGGGGGGGAAUCAUUAAACAGCAUGCACAAAGUGGUCGAGUUCACUCUUUCGAUCCAAAGAGAAAACGAUUCUUACCUUCAGGUUGUCUGGGCAAUGAAGGAAAAGAAAAGCCUGUUGGGAGCCAGGGAAAAUCUAUCUAAACAAUUAAUGCACGUGCGGGGAAAAGUCACAACAUUCCUACAUUACUAGUUUCUCUACAAUCCCGUGCUGAGAAAACUAAUUUGUAUGAAGGAAUUAUGGCGCCGCUCAAAAUUAGUGGUAAAUUACUCCUGAGUCAUCCGAUCCGAUCCGAGCUAACUAUGGUUCAGAAUGCAGUAUUUUAUUAAUGAGCGGCGAGAUGACCUUUUGUGCAAAAAUUUUCUACCCUACUCACUGGAUUGAAUCCCUCUUGUAUCAGUUAUUCAUUCUUUUGCUAGAUUCCUCCAAAUAUAGUUAAUGGGUAAUUCAUUCUAAGAUACCUGGAGCAUUAGCUCUUGUACACUAUAUAAUUAAAGACACAAGUGUUCUUCCAAGUUGAAGUUGUUCAAGGAAUGACCAAAUUAUUGACCCUUUGUUGGUUAGCAUCUAUAGCUGGACCAUAAGAAAGCAUAUGCUCAGGCGGAAAGAUCGUGUUAUACCAGCUGUGGCUUGUCUUUUGUGGGCAAUAUAUUCCCUCGUGUAUAUGAUGAUGAUGAUGAUGAUGAUGAUGCAUCGUGGAUAGGCCACAAUGGGUUGGAUUUAUGAUGCCCCACAAAGCCCUCAUUAUAAGGAUAUCAAUCUGGGUAUAAGUUUACACAUGAAUCAGUUAUAAAUCAAACACCUCAUCAAUGUAAUUUUGAGGAAAGCUCGAGAUACUGAAAUAGCCAAGAUAUUGAUAUGUAUUGCUAUGUUUUGAAUAACCUCCAAAACUAGGUGUCUCGAUGUCAAUAAUGGUACCAAAUGAGAUGACUAAGAUGUGACUAUCUUCGGCAUUAAAAACAUCGUGCUCAGCGCAAGAAUGAUUAAUUAAUCAAGCCUAGCUGCAAUUAACAGAUGAAUACGGUCCCUGUAACUUUUGUUUCCGCUUAAUCACCAAUUAUAAGUUUCAUUUGAAGAAUAAUAAUAAUAAAAUCAAUACUUCAGGAGAAAAGUUGAUUUAGCAAGCAAGAGACCAAAUUUUCUGUUACAACAGUGUAAGACGGAACAUACAAGAAACAAUUGUUGUAUUAUAGGAAAUUUACAUUGCUCAAAGAAACAUUGCAUUAUUGAGAGCAAUUUCUCCCGCAAAAAAGAGUAACCAUGUGCAGUUAGAGUCUCAAGAAAAGGAUACUCUCUUAACUACUUCAGGUCGAUGUACACUAUCACUACCUUAUACUAGCACAGAGUGAUAUUUUGAGCAUUUAGACUAAUUUUCCAAUCUUAAUGCACCGAUUAUAUACUCAAAAGGUACCUAGGGUAAAGUUUUGCAUUGGCGGAACCAUAGCUGUACUAAAAUGUUCAUCUUUCAUGCCUUGAUAGAGCCCUUACCAUAACAUGCUCUCUGCUCAAUUUUCGACUUAUAGGUGUGGAUGAACAGUAGAUGAGGUUACAGUAUAACUGUUUUCAAAGGCUUUGACAAGCUAACGCGCAAAACCUGGGAUCAUGAUUAACAGAAGAAUAAAGCAAGAAGGACAUUGUAUACGAGAGAGGAAAUACUUUAGAAGUUGUAAUGAGCAAUCACCUGAAGUUGGCAUAAUUUUAGAAGAUGGAACAAGCCUUGGAAUGUGCGGUGGCUUGAUAUCUCUUGAAUCGACAACAACCACAUCAGCUGUGAGAAAAACCUUUGCAACAGAAGCAGCAUGCUCUAUGCAGCAUCUAACGACCUGCGCCGAGUUGAGCAGAUAAUUUAAGAAUGCGCAAAACUUUUUGGUAUUCAGAUUCAAGAAUUCAUGUAUAUUUAGUUAAUCAAACAUAAACAAAGGCCUUAUACUGAACAUGUAAGGCAAAGUAUUUUAUGCUUUAAUGAUCAAAAGAAAAAGAAAAAAAAGAUCUAAUUGUCAAAGUUUUUGUAUACUACCGUCUAACAUACAUGUAUAAUUGAGAAGCAUUGCUUGAUGGAAGUUUAAAUGUAAAAUCAUACAAAACAAUAUAGUUACUAGUUAGAAUCACUUUGUUCUCAUGCUUACCUUGGAUGGAUCUAAUAUUCCAGCAGCCAUCAGAUCCUCAAAACAGUUUUUGGCUGCAUUGUAGCCAUAGGUCAUAUCAUUACUGGACAGGACCUGGCGACAAAAUAAUAAUAAUAAUAAUAAUUUUGUACUUAUUAGAGUGGAAAAUAAUCUUCACUAUCAAACAUAUGCCUUGUAGAUACUUGUAGAAACCUUUUCCACUACAAAAUUUCCAUUCACACCAGCAUUUUUUGCUAUUAAUUUUGAAGGAUAAGAUAAAGCCUGCUUAAAGAUGUCAGCACCAAUCUGCAGAAGCAAAAAAAAGAAUAUCAGAAGCGAGCUCAGAGCAUUAUUUCCCCAACAAUUAUCAUGAGUUUUAACUUUUACAAGUUUUAUACUUGAUUAGAGGGUUUAGGUUUCAAAGAUUACCUUUAUAUUGUGUGCAGAUUGGGAAUAUUUUUGUUUAGAUUUAGUUUAUAUUUUACAUAUGUUUACACUCACUCCGUAUUAGGGAAUUAUUUUUCCUAUCAAAUAAUUAAGAGAAAACAGAGAGACCGGCACCUUCUGCUCCUCGUUAUCCAAAGAUUCUUUGAUACUGUCCACCUUCAUAGAUAACCUCAAUAGGCUACAUCCACCACCAACAACAACACCUUCCUCAAUAGCUGCCUACAAAUAGAAGCAUUUGUGGUGAAACCAAACAAUGAUGAAAAGAAUAUGACUUAAAUUUAACCUACCUUGGUUGCAUUAAGAGCAUCUUCAAUUCUUAGCUUUUUAUCUUUCAAUUCGAUGACUGUCUGUGCACCUACCUGUCAAUUACUUUGUAAAGUCAACUCAGCACAUUGUAGCACCAUUUCUACACUUUCUUUUGUGUCUACCAUAAAAGAUCAGAUAAGAAACAUAUCGAACUCAAAAUACUUCAAAUGGCACACCUGAAUAAUUGCAAUCCCACCAGAUAGCCUUGCUAUUCUUUCAUUCAAUAUUUUCUUCUUGAACUUCUCAUCUGAGUUCUGAAAAGAGAAGAUGAGCUGUGAGUUGACAAUUAAAUGAGGGUGACAAGGAAGUCUAGUAAAGAGCAAGAUGUGAAGAGCAAGAUGUGAAGUAUAUAACUACAUAAGUCUCAGCAAACUGAGAGGAUCUAUGAAGUUGAGGCAAGAAAUCCUUGCGCGCAGAAUGAUAAUUGAACCAGAACAAGUUUCAUGUAUUCUCACAAACCAAGCGAGGCAGGCUAAGCACUUGUACCUCAGCAAGACUUCUUAACUGAACAACCCUCUUUUCAACAGCAUUUUGGGUGCUUCGAUCAGUAACAACUAAUGUCGAGUCCUUUGUAACCACCACCUUAGCUGCACAACCCAAGACUUCUUUUCCAACCUUUUCAAGAGUCAGUCCCAUCUCAUCUCUUACUACUUUACCUGCAAAAUAAUAAACAAAUCUGAAGAAAAAAUGGUAAAGAGAGGUCAAAUAUAACACAAGAAACUCAUAAAGAACUUCCUCUGAUUUGAGACGAACUUUAGCAGCUUUAAUGUACAUAAACUCGAGACUACUUUAUACCUCCUGUCAAGACAGCAAUGUCAUCUAAGUAGUCACUCUUGCGCUGUCCAAAAGCAGGAGCUUUAAUAGCAGCCACCUUUAAAACACCUUUUAGCUUGUUUCUUAUUAUAGGAGCCAAAGCUUCUUGUUCGAUAUCCUCUGCAAUAAUCAGGAGCGGAUACUUUUCUUUUACAGCACCAUCCAAGAUCUUAAACAUCUCCCUCACAUUUGUGAUUUUUUUGUCAACCAAAAGUAUCUGUGUAGAAUCGUCGGACGCUGCUAAUUACUUGGUGGAGUAAUACAAUUUUCAUGAAAGCAAUUUAGUACUCACCCUGCUGUUGUUGAACUCCACAGACAUGUUGGUGCGAUCAGUAACAAAGUAGGGCGAGAGAUAGCCACGAUCGAAUUGCAUCCCUUCAACAAUCUGCAAAUGGUUCUCGGUGCAUCUUCCAUUUUCGAUUCUCACGAAACCUUUUUUUCCAACUCUUUUAAGGGCAUCUGAUAUCAUGCUUCCUACACUGUAAUCAUUCCCAGCGCUAACUGCUGCAACAUCAGCAAUUUCACGGUCUUCAAUCUACAUGAUACGAUUCCUAUAAGGUCACGUGUCCCAAAAAUCAUACCAAAUUAUGUGCGGUGAACAAAGAACUAGAGCACCAUAUAUAGUGACUAAUUAAAUGUAAACAGACUUUUUUUAACAAGAUAAGUAGAUAGUUUUCGAAUUUCAGUGAAGUGCUCGGAAACAAUAAAGAAGCUAAAGUAAACAUGUAAAAACUUCCAGAUUCCAAGUGCGGCCGCUACCUAACUAACGGAUAUCCUCGCUAGAUGAUUUAUGCAAUAUGACCAAAAGAAGAAAAAAAAUGAAUAGAUUGUACCUCCCUCGUCAUCAAUCUAAGUUCAGAGACCAAAGCCGUAGCAGUCUUCUCGAUCCCGCGUGCAAUUUGGACCGGAUUCAUUCCUGCAGCGAGUACCUAAUUUGUGAAAAUAAUCAUAAGACCAGAGCUACGACAGCAUUAAUAUUUGUUGUUAGGAAUGGCCAGAACGUUUUAUAUCCUCUACAGUUGCUCCGUUGCACUUCAUAAGGAUCUAAAAGAAGGGAAGAGAAGAACCAUACCUUUACUCCUUCAGAAAUUAAACCUUGCGCGAGGAUGAUAGAAGUAGUGCAACCGUCACCGGCAAGAUCGUUUGUCUUUGCUCCAGCCUGUCUCACCAAUUUGACACCAAGAUUCUCCAAAGGGUCCUCCAAUUCAACCUUGUUCAAUUGGGAAACAAAGCUUUAGUUUUUCCGGUAAACUCUUAUCUCUUUCUAACAGUGAGUUCCUCCAAAGAACUUUCAUUCAGUUAUCUACUGGAUUGAAUUUCAUUCCAACUCCAAAUCCGCGCACCAGCAUACCUCCUUGAGUACAGUCUCUCCAUCAUUAACAAUCUUGGGAGGGCCAUACUUGUUCUGCAGCACCACAUUCCUGCCCUUUGGGCCCAGAGUAACCCCAACCAACCGCGCCACCAAGUCCACUCCAACCUACGAUUCGUUGAAUAUAAAAUACCGAAACAUAGAUGAAACAAAAUUCCGAGUUCAAGCUUUUCCAGAAUCCUAGCCUCAUGAAAAUUUCCUCUCAUUUAAGAACUCGAUUAAGAGGGAGGGAGGAAUGAUUACCUGGAGCUUCUUGGUCACAGAGAGGUCGCGGUUGAAGUGGAGCUCCUUAGGGGUGGGCUUCGGAGGGGCCCCUCUCCCUCUCCUGGGAGAGAAAGGCAUCUGGGGAUUAGUGGUGAGAGGAGAUGGAGAAAAAGAUGACAUUGUUUCAGUUGCUCCUCUGUUCUGCUGCUGUAUGUUGUGGGACUUGAGACUUGAGAGCGGGGGGUUGGGAGGGAGAGGGUAGGAUAAGGGACUGGAACGCCAAAAGGAGUGGGUUCGGUUUCAGGCGCCAAAAAUAUCUCCAAAAUUAUCUUCGUUAUGAUGAGUCAUACAAGCAAGAUCUUCUACUUGGCCGUAGUUUUUUCUUGGGCUUUUUCCGAUAACCUGACAGCUCUAUUUUUGAAGGGUCUGGUUUUGGCUUAGAGCCGUGACCUUUAAAAUCCGCACCACAGCAACCUGCCAAUUAGAGCAAUGUACUCGAUCAAAAACAUUUAAAUUAUUAUCAUUGUUUUUCUUUUAAUGCUAAUCAGAAGCCUUUAAAAUUCAGGAAAUGUCCUCAGAAGCUAUCAACAUUAACACAUUAACACUUCAAGAUGAACAUUCUAGAGAAUCCAUAAAAAUUGACUUAAAUGUGUUGGCAAUUUAAGGCCAAGCUUAAGCACGCAGAAAAAAGAAAAAAAAAAAAAAUUAGCGGCAAGUUCACCAAACUUACCAUUUUGAUUUUGUUACUAACAUCCAACCUGUAAUAAUGCAUACAGUUAAGUUAGAACAACAGUUUAGUUGGAACACACUAGAUUGCCGGUUUCAAAUAGAGAUACAUGAUUGAGCAGCCAAAUAAAGUAAUGAAGCAACGAGCAGAAAAUUACACAGGAAAAUUACACUCAAACGAUAACAAAUAACUCAGUACUUCUCCCUUCUACUGUACACCUGGCGGUUUAUUUGCAAUUGUUGUUAGUAUAAGAAUGACAGCUAAUGUAUAGUGGUUUCAGAGCCCCAAAUUACAAAGAGACUAUUUUUUGGUUAUGCCUCAUUGGGUCGGCAUUUAAUGGUAGUUAAAUGAAGCGGCUCCUGUGGAAACUCGAACCCAGGAUGGUACCAUUACAACUGCACCUAUUAUUUGGUGAUUGUGCAGGCUAAGUAACAGUCGACAACACGAUCAAUCAUGUUGAAAAUCAGCUCCAAAAUGACACAUGAAAAUCAGCUCCAAAAUGAAGGAAUAUGCGGCAAAGAACUAGAAAGCUGCUUUCCACCCUUGUCAUACCAUCAGCACAUUCACCGAGAACACCCAAAUACUUAAACUGGAAGACAAAGAAUCGGCAUUACUGAAGGGCUAGAUGAGAAUAUUCCUAAUGGCUCGUAUAUAGACGUUUUCAUCCCCGUCGCUGGAUGUAAUGAAAUCAUCGCCUGCACCAGGUGCACGACAAAUAUAUCCCGCCCGCUGACAUUCUGCCAUUUUUCGUAAUUAUCAUUAGUCUUCAGGACCAGUACGGACCUUUAAGAGAGCCAUAAGAAGCAGCAAGCCUUCGUGCCCAAAAACUCUCCUCAGGUGACCAGGAUAUUGACGAACCAAGAACAGCACACCAUCUGAGAUUAAGGAGAGCUGUUGCGAGAAACUCUUCAGAUGCUUUAAAUGCAUUGAUGAUUUUUAAUUCGGCAUCUGGGUCUUCACUGUGGACAAGAUCCUCCAAAGAAGCCCUCUUUUCGCAAAGAAUAUCUUCAGAGAUCAUUCGGAUGCUUAAGACCUGCAAUGCCUCCAUUGCUGUAGUAUGCAACUCACACUCCACAUAUGCAGAGAAUGUGUACCACAGAGUUGAAGGAUCAGGUUGGAUUUUCUCUCUAUGCAUACGCUCAAUAACAUGCUCAAUUAUAUGAAGUCGUCCCUGACAUGGUGAGAUUUAAAUAAAUUUAGAUAAGGACAUAUGCUUUAUUAAAACAAAAAGGCUUGAUAAAUAUAAUAUUGCAAGAUAAGUAGGCACUUUUGCAUAUGCUUCUCGAAGUAUUGUGUUAAAUAACUGGACGUCAAGCUGAAUUCCUUCAUCCUUCGCUUUAUCCAAAAGGCUCAUUGCACCAUCAAACUCUUCAUUUGCCAAUAGGACCUGAGAAGAAAUAGAAAAACAAUUGCAGGUUUGAAUGCUUCAAAUUUUCUAUGCAACUCUCAUUCUAUUAUUCACUCAGACCCCUUUUUGGCCCUGGUCCUCAACCGACAUCAACUCUUUGAGGACCCAACCCUCACCCAGACAUAAAGUGGGAAGAUCCAAAUUUAUUUCCACAUUUCUCCUUCGCAGUUCCACUAGUAGUGGUACAUGGACCCACCCUUACUAGAUAGUAUCUCUAACUAAAAAUCAAUCAGAAAGAAAAUACCGUGUUACAUUACCCUACGUGAAAGAGACAAAUCCCAAUGAACCUGAUUUUGUUGCCCUGGAACAAUUUUAGGUGGCAAUAGUGCUAACUAAAGGCUAGGGCCUAUAUUUAAGGAGAUGGGAGCUAUGAUAGUCAUAUUUUAUUUUUAUAUUUUAGCUUGAAAGAAAAAUGGCACUGAACCAUCCCCUGCUCUUUGGUGCAUAUGUUAAAUGUCAAUUGAAACAUCACUCGUGGGUAAGAGAAUUACAUAUGGUACAAGAGAAGAGAGAACCCGUGCAAAUAUUGUCGAAUACAAUCCAGACCAAUAUAUUUAGCUUGUAUUGAAGGGAUAUAUAGAUCAUACCUUCAUAAGUGCAGUGUAUGUCAAAGUUUGCGGACAAAAACCAUCCCGAUACAUCAGGGACAGCAAAGCACAAGCAGAUCUAAAACAAGUCAGCAUACUGCAACAUUCAAUCAUAAUGUUGUAUAUUGCAACAUUGGCUGGGAGACCGCAGGCCCUCAUAUUCUUAAAGACUCUGAUAGCUGUGUGUGUCUGCAUUGAUUGACAUUUCAAUGGUGUAAAGAGUUUAUCCAACAAUGAUACUUUGAUAAGUAAAAUAAAUAUAAACAAAGAAUAGACACCAAAGAGAAGAAACGAAAAGCAGCGAAGUGCAUACAUCCUUAGACUUAACUAGCGCAUGCAGGACAGUGUUAUACAUAUCACUGUUCUGAUAAGGAUCUAUGUGCCAUAACAUGUUCUCAGCAACAUUUAAGUAGCGCAGCAUCUCCUGUAUCAUGCCCUCAGCUCCAACAGCUCUUAUCUGAAACAAUAAGAUGUCAAAGGUAAAUCAAUUAUGAUUAAUUAUGAAAUGAAAGGUCUUGUUUCAAUAUAUUUCACCAUUUGGGAGAAAAAUCACACAUAAAAGACAUACUAACAUGACAAGUGGAAAAGCGGGAGAGCAAAAUAACCAUAAUAGCAAAAGCGUAGACCGAAUAGGCCCUGUACAAUGAUUGUAAGCAGCCAAAAGCACCAGAAACCUUCUACUGAUAUUUUUACUGUAGACGGUAUACAUAGUGACAGAAAGCCACUCAAUGCUAUGAUAGAUAACAAUACCAAAAGUGACAUGAUAAUUGAUGGUUAUUUGCUUUAGCAGAUUUUAUGUGCAUAUCACAGAAUUGUUUGUAAUAGUGCUGCAGUAGCAAUAUGACAUAUAAUUGUCUGUGUUUCUUGGAAAAGACACCCCCCCCCCAAAAAAAAGAAGAAAAAAAGAAGAAAAAAAGUCAACAGGAUACUGCACCUCAUUUAUCAAUUUUCAGACAGGACUAUAUAUGCAAGAUUCGCAAAAUGCACCAACUGCAUACUUCUUUAUUGAUAAUUAAAAAGACAGAGAGCAUAGUAAAUAGAUUUUCCAUGACAAUAUUGCUUAUAAGCUGAAGUCAAUCUAAAGAUUUUGCUUGCUUAGCUUUAUGAGAAGGAUAGACACAAACAGGAAGCGAGGCAACAAUACCAGAUUCUUCAUUGACACAAAGCUGUGUUGAAUUCCAUUCUUCAACAUGUCCAUCUCAAUGAGGUGUAUCCUUCUAGCAACAUCAGCAUGUGAUAGCAUAUUUCCUUUCUCGUAAGGGACAUUGACAUUGGCAAACAAUGAAAACAUAAGCUCAUAGGUUCUGAUAUUUAAUUUGAUAUUGAAAUGCUUUAUCCUGGCUACUAUACGGACUGCCCGUUCUGGUUCAUUCUGCAAGAUGAUUUGAAAGGCUUGAGAAUCCUACUAGAUGUAUGCAUUAAUCAUAAACAGAAAUCUACAGGAUCCUAGUCAAAAUAAUGUACUGAAAUGCAAAGCAUCUUAAGCUGAAAGGACAAUCUAAUUGUACUUUGUUGAAAAAAAAAUGAUGAUCUCAUAUAACUUAAUGUUUAACAAGGAUAUAUAGGAGGAACCCAAUACACAGGAACAAAUUAAGAAACUCUUCAAAGGCAUUCCAAGAAGGUAAUUAGUUUACCAUAACAUCACAGGCAGCAAGUAAGGCAUUAAAGGGAUUGAUGAAUUUUGGUAGACUAUCCGAGAGCUUUUCCAGACAGGACUCGGCCAAAUCCAGAUCUAAAUUUCUGCUAUGACCAAUUGAGAGAGCAGCAAGUGUAUCGUUAUAAAGCUCAAUAUUCUUUUUUUCCAUUGAUUCAACCUGAAAAAAACAACAUUCCGCAUAAAUCAUAAAAACAUAAUAUAGGACCCUCUUUCUUUACGAAAACAUAUAAUUGAAUAUUGAAAUAUUGUAUUGUGCGCUGGCAAUAACUGCCAAUUCAAGUUCCAUAGUUUAUGUUUAAGAAAGGACAGGGUAUGACCCAGCUUAGGGUACUUUAGUUUAGAAAUUUGAUCUUGAAAGCAACGGCAAUACCGGGUCAACGGAGAUAGACAUACCACUUUCAUGCCAUAUGUUACUCCUUUCCCAGUAAUAACAGCUUUAACAAAGCCAUCAUAAGUAUAUCUUGAAGGUAGCAAUCCAACUUCGCGCAUCUAGAUUAGACAGUAUUAGCAAAAUUAGGUUUGAAUAUGUAUUAUUAAGGGAAUCAAAUGCUAUUUGGAUAUUUCCGUGUUACAAAUCCAGGAAAAGAAUAGUACAAAAAAGAAAAUAAUAAACGGUACAAAGUUGCUCGACAUAAUUACAAAAUUCCUUCACUGGGUUGUAAUUACAUUAAUGUGAUUUCUGCCACUAGGUUUUAAAUUAUAAAUUUCAAACCUAGUUUGGGAUUGUGAGCCAAUUUGGUCUGAACUGAGAAUGAACUCAACCCAACUGUCUCCAGGUGUAGCUCUGCUCAUGGAAUCAAAUAAAGCCUAAAAUAGAAAUAGAUACCAAGACAGACAGAUAUCUGGUGUGCAUGCUUAGUACAACUGUUUCAACAACUGGCAAAUGGCAGGAUAAAUAAGGACGGUUCUACUUCAAAAGACAGUUUAGAAGUUAAAUACAACCCAGAACAAAGCCAAUAUGAUGGAGAGGAUCAACUAGGUUAAAAUCAAGUAGUUGAGGCUAAAAAUUUACAUGCUACUUUUCUUGCUUAGAUAUACGGAUCUGAUUGUUCAAUUCACAUUUGCCUCUUAUUUCUUAGUCUGUAUAAGUCCACAUGAAUGUGCUAAUUUCUUUUGUGGGAUGGAUUUUUUGGGUUUUAGAACCAAUAAGUGCAAGAACAUAAAGAAACAACAACUUUCAAAACUUUAAGCAUCAGAGACCAAAUAGAUAAGUAUAUUCAUAUUCUUAAUAUGAAUAGGAAAAGCAUAUUGCAAACAAUGGCCUGCAGAAUCCAAUGGAACUAUACCUGCAAAAACAACUGCUCAGCUAACUGGCAGUUAUUAAACCGUGCACAGGCAUGUAUCAUAUCAUUAUAAGACCAUCUCAAGAAAUUCUUAGUUGGUAUAGAUGCCUUUUCCAACAUCUGUGCAGUACUUUCAAUGUAAAAUUCACUUUCCACCUGCACUGCAAAAUUCUAAUUAUCAAAUUAACAGUAGUGCCAAUGUAGUUCAAAACAUUCAGGGUACACAUACCUUAUCUAGCUCGUUGAAAGCAAUUUCUGAGUGAGAAAAAUCAACAACUUCUUGCUUUUCAUGGUUUACUUGAAACGCUGGCAAGGGCAAAUUUGCAUGUGAGAAAAAUCUGAGUCCUGAUAAAUCAUUCAUUGCAGGAAUAGGAAUAUCUAAUCUUGAUGAUUGGUACCGCCUUUUGGCAGAAACUGUAAGAGUGGCACUGUUUUGCCCAGCAAGGGUCACCAUAUAUUGCAAUGUCUUGUGUGCAGAUUCUAGAUCACCUAAUCUAGUGAGGGCCUGUAUAAAUUUUCGUAGUGUUAUGAUGCUUGGGUUAUAGUACCUAGUGCAAUCCUCCCAUAUCUCAUAAACUGCAGAAAGAUUUUUCUGCAACACAGCAAGCUGCAAAGGACAAAAUAUAAUCAUGACAAUUAAAGGAAGAACAAUAACCAAGAGAAAACAUGUGGUAUUCAGAAAUUAACAAAAUUCUGAAACAAAGAAUCUCACAUUAUCUCCCUAUGAUCCAAGAACAAUGCAAGUAUUUGACAGAAGGAGAAAGAACAGCUCAACCAUCAAGGAACUAAAUAUUAUUGUACAAUAAUAGGAGAUCAAGAACGCAACAUAAAAGCAGAUGGGAUUUCUUCAAUAAAAGACUAACAUCCAAAUUCCAAGUCUAAUUUUCCUCUACAUCACAAGUUUGUAAUACACAGGCCUGGUUUUUAAGAUAGAAAACCAAAAUCCACAGAAGAGAGUGCAAAUUUUUUUUUAUUAGCAAGACAAAAUUCAUAACUUCAUACACAUGUUGUCAUGAUGUGGAAAAUGUUUAAUUACUAGAGAUGACAACAAGCAAUAUAGCCUGUGAUUCAUAACUUCAUCCAAAGCUUGGUGUCACUAUAAUCCCCUGAUUGGCUUAUGAUUCAAACAACCAAAAAUUGACUAGCCAUUACGCAUAUUCAAUUGUGAUAAUGAUUAUCGAAACAGACUACAGGUUUUGCAUGAAACAUUUUAUGGGCCACAUAUGUCAAAGUCUUCUGUACUCAUUGUAAGAUUCAUUAUUACUAAAUCAUCUUUCUGUUUAUUACAAACCUUAAGAAGUUCCCAAUAAGUUAUUUCAGACUUCCCUAGAAGGUGGCUUUCCAUUUUCUCCAAGCAGGCCUCAGCAUAAUUCCGAUUGUGUGUACUUCCACAUACACUUAAGAAAAUAUUAAACAUUGAAAGAGAACUGCACACACGGUCAUUUUCCCCAAGAAAAGCCAGCCAAUUAAGUGCCUAAACAGAAAGAAAAGGAUUAUCAAUAAUAUGAAAGCAGAUUAUCUCUAGAAAAAACGCUUCAGAUGUAACUCACAACUCUUGUGCAAACCUUGAAAGCAAAUUGAACAGAUAUAAGUUAUUUGCACGCAUGAUAGAAAAAAGAUUUUGAAAUAAAUGUAAUAGAAAUGGCAAUGAACAGGAAAUUCAAAUACUCGAAGAGAAUGUACAAGCCAAAUUUAGAAAGCUAUUAUUUGUUAAAUUACAUUUCAAAUACUCAGCAAGUCUAAUAGCUGUGUUUCAAAAGAAUGUUCACCUACCUCCUUAAGGUAUCCUCCUUUGGUGAAGGCUUGGAUGAUGGAUCUGCAACAACUUUUAUUCGGAUCUAUUGCAUUUUGCUCCAUGACUUUCCAUGUCUCCAGAACAAACUGAUACAAACAUCCAUUUUAAUAAAAAUCGUACAAAAUAAAAUGCAUAUUUUGCACAUAAGUUCCAAGAAACCUACAAUAUGAAGUACGUGAAAAGUCAACAAGAAUGGCAAAGAGAACUACUAUUGCAUUCUAUAUAAUUAACCAAAGAAAUAAAAUAUGAAAAAGGAAAACCUUCCCAAGCAACAAAAUUACCCAACUUUGCCUCCCUAUUGCUGCAAAGUAGGGGGGUGCCAGGUUGAAAAUAUUGAAAGCAUAAGGGAGCAUUAGACCAUUGUUUCAAAUAACUCGUGGUGAUUUAGAAACUUUUACUAAAAGUUUCUUCAAUGUGAAACCAGUGGAAAGGGAAUACUGGAUAUUAAAAUUAAUGGUUUCCUUCUAGCAAAAGUGACCCUAGGAGUCUUUCCACAGAAUUUGCUUAAUAAGAGGUGUUUGAUGUACACAUUUAUGGUUGCUCAGAUCACUAGAUACUAGGCAAAGAACAAGUAAUAGAUAACAAAACAAUUUUCCUCGGCCCCAAAUUCGUAAUUCGUCCCGCAUUAAAAGGUGUUAGAAUUUUGUUUGCCGACUAAAGAAACAGAUCGCUAUCAAUAUAUAUCAUCAUAUCUUAUAUAGAACCUCCUUAACUCAAAUUGUGAUCCAACUGCCUCUACGUUUUUCCUAAAAAGGAAAUAGAGAAGAAAGGCAUGAAGUCGUGAAAAGAAAUAUGAAGCCACUAAAAACAGUCUUUCUUUCAGUGCAAUCUCUUGUAAGACAAAGCAUAUCCAGAAAUAUCAACAAGUUUAAUAGCCUUAUGGGUUUCUCCAAAUCGAACACUAAACCAACAGAGCACAAAUGCAGCCAAAAGAUACACAGAAUAGUUCGUCUGAUGUUUAAUGAUUGAAUAUCCCAAGCAAUCAAAGUCACCAAUAAAACCAAAGUUUUCUGGUGAAAAGUUGUUUCUCAUACUAUAUUAAAUGUGCAAAUGCUAAUUUCUCAGUAUCUCUUUUCUGAAUUUCAUUAACAAGUGCUUCAAGUGGAGAGAAGAAGCACAGCAUUUUACUUAUCUUAUGACAUGUAGUCAGAAGAAGAAAUAAGUAUCUUGUUGGAAGUAAACUCACCAAAGGAUCAGCAGUAUCUGCACAGUAUUCAAGAAUAUAAGAAAAAUCUUGAGCAGUUAAACAGCCACUCGCAUGACCUAGAUUCAAAAGCAUCAUCGAGGCUUGCUCUCUUUCUCCUCGACGAAGAGCAUUGACAACUUGUAGCUGUGCAAAUCUACUCACCAACUUUGCUCUCCAUCCAAAAUGAUCAUAAUCUGCAAGUCAUGGCAUCAUAUUGUGCAGCAUGAUAAAAAAUAAAAUAAAAAAUAAGCACGUCUUUAUGAAAGUAAGGCACUUAAAUUGAUCCUACAAUCCACCGAGUUAAACAUGUUUUGAUAGAACAAAUAUCCCAACUGUACAACUAUGUUUAUUUGCUAAAAACAGAAGCGUGAUGAUAGGUUGCAGAUUACUAUCCUCUAGUCAGAGUGACGCGCCUACAUUUUUUCAACUUUCAUCAUGAGCAUAAGAAUAUCAAGAUUCCCCACAGCAGCUAAACAUAGGAAGGCUUCCUAUAAUCAACCAUGUAUCUACAUAAGUUUUCUCAUUUGUCGACUCUCGAAACCAGAACCAAAAAAAAAAAAAAAAAAAAAAAAAAAAAAAAGUGAACAGAUAUCCCAGAAAAUAAUGGAAAUCUUUUAUAACAAAAUGACAUACUAAAAGUUUACAAAUUUGUUACUCAGGAUAGAAAGAACAGUUCUUGAUAUAUAAAUGGCUAAAACAUUUACGAUAUUGAUAUCUACAUUCCGACACUUCAAAAAGAGCCAAUCUAAUUUACUCUAAACAGGUAAUCAAUGUACAAAAACCAGUUGCAUAAACAAAGUACAAGGUUCUUUAAUGCCCUCAGAAGAAGUGUAGCAAUAAUACCAUGAGAGCCAUCGGUGUGGGACGUCGACUGUAAUCUAGCAGUAGGCUUUGCUUGUGCCUAAAGAAUCCAAAUUAAUAGAUCAAUUCGAUGGCUAUUCUCUAUAAGACUGCAGCAUUGCAGUAAAAACUCAAUAGCAUUAGAUUGAUGAAUUCAGAAAAAAUAUGAAAAGAAAAUAAAACCGCACUUUUCGUCGCGCUUCGCGAACAUUCGGAGAAUCAAGAGAUCGGCGAGCUGCUCUCCAUCUGAAAUCCAAGAAAGCAGAAUCAAGGAGAAGGUGAUGGCAUAAAAAGAUUGAAUCUGGGUGAUACAAGAAAAACUUACAUGUAUCCACGCAUACUCUUCGGAUAUCUUUCCAAAGGGGAUGAAAAUUAGGGGCAAUAAACGGAUAAAUGGAAACCCUAAUUAAUGGAGAAGGAGGUGUUUCGGCGAGAAAGAGUCGAUCGGGGGCCGAAUGGGAGGCGCGGCGAUUUGGAGUGUGGGUUUGGCCGUUUGGGGGAAGAGGAGGAGGAGGAGGAGGAGAUGGGGAGAGAGGGUUGGGAAAUUGAAAUUGGUCGAGGGACCGUUUUAUCAGACCUUACUAGUAGUCGAACUAAAACGGCUAAUGACGGGGUUGGGCCAGAUAAUGGGCCAAAAGCCCAAUCCGUGGUCAACUCUCACUCUAAUAAAAGUAUUCAAAUGUUGGGCCAAUCCUACAGGCCAGCACGAUUUUUUUUCGUUCUUUCUUCUAUAACCAAAAUUAUUUAAAUUUUAUAUUAUUUUUUAUUUUUUAAAAAAAUAUCUAAAAUCUGUUUCUACUGAAUAAAUAAUUAUUUAGUAUAUUUGUACAUGAUUAGUAUUAAAAAAAUUUUAAAAUGAAAUUUAAAAAGACCCAAAGACGGCUUUAGGCCCAGCACGGUGCAAACUGGUCCACGCCAAUAGCCUUGCUAGGCCUGGGAAGAGGAAUAGGCGGACCAAUACGGCUCGGUGCUGAGAAGGGCCGCCUUUGGGCCUGUGUUGGUCCGGAAAAAUGUGGAUACAGCACUCACAUUACACCUUACGAAUGGGUAUCAGCUCUCAUGUAAUGGCUUACACGUACAUGUUUGUUUUGAUGUCAGUAAUUAGAAUUCUAACAUUUUACGCGGGUGGAGACUUUCAGACCUAGUUGGCUGCUGGUGUAACAUCUGGAAUGUCCGAAACGAUUGUAUCUUUCAGAACAUCCCGCCGAACCCCGGCUUAGCGACUCAGAGACUCUUCCUGCUGCUAAAAGAGUGGGAUCUCCUUCUAGACACGUAGCAGUUUUGGACCCAACAUUUUUUUUUUUUUUUCGGCCUGUUUUCUCUCGGGGCCGUGCUGCCCCACUCUUGUAGUUUAAUUCAUCUGUUUAAUGAAUAAAGCGGGUAGCGUGCUACUUUUUUCUUAAAAAAAACAUUUUACGCGGGUGGGAGAAAAUAAAAAUUAUUAUUUAGUGAUCCACUUGACAUAAUUGAGUCCGCUACGGGUGAGCGUAAACAGUCACUCGCAAAGCUACCAACCGUCCCUAGCUAACACAAGUGGCAAAAGACUUGGUGAUUGGUAUUCGAAGUUUCAAGUUCAAAUUUUAAUUGAUUCAUAUUUUCAACUAGAUUUAUUUAUAAAUAAAAUAAAUGAAGCGCGUAGCAUACCACCUAAUUCUUAAAAAAAAAAAAAAAAAAAAUCACUUGUAAAGCUAACGAAAGAGUUGGAGCACAACUCGAGUUUACACCGACGAUAGUUGAUUAGCACUAGCAUUCAAGUACAAAGAAUUUAAAGUUGUGAUUAAUUUUAUACAGUUCCUUGCAAAAACAUCAAAUAACAGAUAAGUUUUUACAAAACUUAAAUGAUUAGAUUUACCCCUCCGAUUUUUUUUUAUUUAUAAAUAGAUCUCUCCAAAAGUUUUGGUUCAUUCGUGUAUGUUUCCAUCUUUUGAUUUAUCAUUAAUUUUUUAAUAGUGAUAUGUAAAAUAACUAUUUUAUUCUUACAAAUUUGUCACUACAAAAAUUAUCUUUAUUUUUUUUUUCUCUUCUCACCUUCACCGUGGUACAUGCGGCGUAUCUCAUUUUUGCCGCAAUCGAGAAUCUUGCUUUGUUGUUGCCACCAUAGGUUAUUUACUAUUUAGCUAAUUGUAGUUAAUUUUUAAAUUUUAUAGCUCAAAUUUUAUAUAAUAUAUUUGUUAUUUGAUAUUUUUACAGAAACUGCAUAAAUUGUCGCCAGAGAGGCCAUAGCUGCUUGGUGCAAUUUUUCUGGAACCGGACAAAUCAGCCAAGCAUUAAUUACUUGUGAAGUUAAAGGAAGAUUAUUUUUUAUUUUUUAUUUUUUAACCUUAUAUAUUUUUAGUGACAGAGCUUUUCAUAUUCAGUUGUAUCUUCUUUUUUUUUUUCCUUCUUCUUGUGGGGAUGCUCCAUCACUUACUCAUUGAGACCACCUAUACAGUCAGGGACGGAGCUAUUGAGGGGUCUACGGUGAUCAUGGCCCCCUCUAAAUUUUUUAAAAUUAUAUAAAAGUUCUUCAUAAUAAAAAUUAAAAUAUUAUAAAUUUUAAUUUUAGGGGGUCAAAUUAAUUUUUUUCAACAAAAUUUAUGUCUCAAUUUCUUUUCGAACUUCUUGAUCCUUUUCCUUCAACUUUUAGGGCGUGUUUGGUUCGAAGUCGGAAUCGUUAUCGGAAUUGGAAUCAAAAUAAGCUGGAAUCGGAAUCGGAAUGACUCAUUACCUAAUUCUGUUUGGUUCAUCACCUGAAUCGGAAUCGAAAUAAAUUAUUCCCAUUGUCGGUGUUUGGUUCAUGUGGAUAUAAAAAACGUAAUCAAAUUAAUAUACUAACAUUAUCUUUAUAAUAUAUUAAUUUAAAUUCAAAUUAAAAAUUAAAUAUUAAAAAUUUACAUCAAAAUUUUGAAAUAAUGUCAAAAUUUUAAAUCUAUUUUUUUAAAAAAAAAUUAAACUUUGAAGUUAAGUGGAUAAUUCAAAAUAUAAAACUAAAUUUCGAUUUAUUCAAAUUCAAAUUUAAAAUUACAAUUUAAAUUUUAAUUUGAAUCCAUAAAUUUAAUUUAAGUUUGAAAUAAAAUUUGAAUAAAACUUUAUAUAAAUUAAAAUUUAAUUUAAAUUCAAAUUCAUAAGUUAGAUUCGAAAUACUUGAUUAAAUUUUAAUUUUUAAUUUAAGUUCAAAUUAAAAUUUAAAAUUAUAUAUUUAAUUUUUAAAUUUUAACUCAUAUUUUAAUUAAAAAAGUUGAAAAAAUAAAUUUAAUCCGAAUAAAUAUCCAUUCCGUCCGGAUUCAACUUCCAAUCCGGCCUCCUAGGCCGGAUUGAAAAAAAAGGUGAUUGGGAGAUUCCCAUUCCACUCAGGAAUCGAAAUUAGAAUCGGACUCCCGCGUACCAAACACCCACAAACGGAUUUACUCAUUCCAAUUCCGAUUCCAGAGUGAAAAAGAAGCGAACCAAACACGCCCUUACAGUCUUGUUCCUUUUUGGCAUAUUAUCGUUAUCUGUAAAUCUGACAAAAUUUUUUUUUUUACUAUUCGAAAUUGAAUUUUUUUUCUAUCAUAUCUAAAUUUUGGCCCCCCAUCUUAAUUUUUAGUUUCGUCCCUGUAUACAGUGUUGUACCUUAACCUCAAGAGGACAUUAGAAUCUUUCCUUUCAUUACCACUCUGACAAGGAGCAAAUCACUGUGGCCUGAGAGAAGUCCUCUGUUCUCCUACACCUUCGCAAUAACAAAAUUUAUUGCUGAUUAAUAUCUUAGUUAUAUAUAUAUAUAUAUAUAUAUAUAUAUAUAUAUAUAUCAUUUUGCUUUCCAAUUUUCUGGAAUAUUUUUUAUUCUGAGCCAGUUGGAAACAGGUCAAUUUUUCAUCAUUCUCCAAAUAAAAGGAUGACAAUGACAAUCAGAAAAAUCUCAAAAAGGAAAAGAACUAAAUAUCAUAAAUUUAUGGAUUCAUCAUUUUGUUACUUAGUUAUCCGGAUUUAUUUGCAAUUAGUUUCCUCAAUAUUUUCUUGAGCACUGAGAUUUUUCUCUUCUUGUAGUUUCUGCACCAUCUUCUGGAGUUCUGAUCUCUCCUCUCUAAGCCGCGCGUUCUCGUGCAUGAUCCGAUCGCAGCCCCUCAUCGCACGGUUCAGCUCGUCGAGCAGUUGGCGGUUGGCGCUGCGGAGGUGAACCACCUGCGCCCAAAGCUCGCUUAAAUGCUUCUGCUUCCUCAUCCGCGAGCGGCGCGCGGACUCUCUAUUGGAUAUCAUCCUUCUCCUCCUCCUCUCUUCUUCCGAGCUACGGUGGCGGUCGUCUGCCUCAUCGGAAGUCGAGCCGCUACGAAGGCAAGAAACGGUCGAAACACUGCAGGCAGGAGGACUAUGAAGAUCGCUAAAUUCAUGGUUUGGCUGCAUGAUGUGGAUAUUUUGGUUGACGCAAGGCCCGAAUAUGUUGCCAAAGUGGAAGGAGGACAUGUUGUUUUGGGCCGCGUCAUAGUGUGAGCUUUUGAAGGUAGGAGUGUUCGAAGGCGAGAGGUAUCGAAUGCUCGCGACUUCGCCGGUGGGAUGCAUGGCUAGUACUCACAAGGGGAGAAAGGAAAAGCAAAAAAAGAAAGGAGGCCUUUAUUCUUGUUCUACAACUGGCUAUGGAAGGAGGGUGUAAUUUAUAGUACGAAAGGCUUAAUGAGAAGAGGUCCCCACUUCCAUUAGCCUCAAACAGUUCAUCAAUCGUCAAAUACUACUGCGGCAAAAAAUUAUACGACAUUGAUCACUCGUGAGGUAACCGUUUGGUAACGAUGCAUUAAUUAAAUGUGCUAUAUAUGCUAAAUGAAUACAUGGGUAUUUGAAGGAACCCCCAUCAGGGCCGUCGGUUCGUGAUCGGAUGGUUGUUAUGGACCAAUGGGCCCUUAAUUAGUAGCAUCACAUGUAACAGGUGCUUUGGCCAUUUAACUUGCUACUGGUUGGAUAACAGUGACAGGCAUUUUGCAAUGAAUUGAGUAGGGUAGAGAAGAAUAAUUCCAUGGUGCGGCAAAUCCACAACGGAUAAUGGCGUUAAUUAAGAUGUUUAUAUGACUAAUCGUAUAGAUAUAAAGAUGACUAGAGAGCGGAGGAUUGAUAUGAUAUACUAUUAGGUCCAAAUCUAUAAGCUUAAGUUUGAAACUUUGAAUGGUUUUCCAAUAUAUGUGCUUAAUUCUAGUGCAUGUAGUAAUUAUGCUCCGUUUAUUUCCCCAAAUGAUUGAUAAUGCAUGAUUCUCUCAAUGUUGGGUUAUAUCAAGUUAUAACCAAGUUGUGGGUGCAACUUGUUUUUUUUUUAAAAAAAAAAUAAAAUAAAAAAGGCAGGUGACGGAAUAGAAUUAGUUGCUUUCACAAAAGUGAAGGAAUUAUAUAUGAUGACCCGAGAGUCCACUGCGGUGGCGCCCUUUCGCCUCAAAAUGGGAUGGAUAAUUAGGUUCGAUGCACUGCAGGGAACGGCACUAUUUUUUUGAUCAAAAUGAAAAAAUAUAUGGACGGUUCCUAGCGCAAGUGGCAAAAGGCUUGAUAGUUGGUAUUUAAGAUCCCAAGUUCGAAUCCUAAUUAAUUUAUAUUUUCAGCUAAAUUUAUUUCUAAAUAAAAUUAAACGAAAAAAAUAACAUGCUAUCUAUCUCUUAAAAAAAAAAAAAAAAAAAAAAAAAAAAAACAACAACAACGGCCAUAAGUAAUACUUGAUAUCCUUAUCAUGAGUUGUGUCAAGUCUCUGUCUUAAGGUCUUCAUAAAUGUCCUGGGCCAUUUAUUUUUGUUACGGGAUUCAGCUUUUUUAAUCGGUCCUUUUGGUUUCUUUCUUACUCAUCUAUUACUCUUUAUGAAUCCCCAAUGUUUUAAGCUGAUAUGUCAUAAUCUCUUAAUUUUAAAAUUUUUUUAAUUUAGAAUAAUCCAUUUUAUUCUCUCUCUCAACAUACGUCUUUUCAUCUCCCCUAUUUAAUUUUUAUUUAGAAUGAACCAUUUUAUUCUCUCUCUCAACAUACGUCUCUUCAUCUCCCCCAUUCAAUUUUUAUUUAGAAUGAGCCAUUUUACUCUCUCUCUCUCAACAUUCGUCUUCUCAUCUUCCCCAUUUUAUUCUCUCUUUCUCAACAUACGUCUCUUCAUCUCUCCCAUUUAAUUUUUAUUUAGAAUGAGCUAUUUUACUCUGUAUGUCUCUUCAUCUCUCCCAUUUAAUUUUUAUUUAGAAUGAGCUAUUUUACUCUCUCUCUCUCUCCAUCGUUGGUAGAUGUACCAAGUGAGAUACACAAAAAAAUAUUUAAUAUUUUAUUAUUAUUAAUUACUACUAUAGUUUCUACCCGCUGCAAAGCGCGGGACUCUUCACUAGUUGAUGUAUUAUAGACGCAUCCUUGUUAUGAGAAACAUCUAAACUGGAGACAAUUUGUGUCUAGAUUCAAGAGUUUUAUUAAAUGGAGAAAAUUAAGUAUACAUAACUCGAACUCCUGACCUCUUAUUCUAAUAAUCAAAUUAAAUUAGAUAAAUCAACUGUUUUUUUUUUUUUUUUUGAGAGAUAGGUAGCACGCUAUCCUCUUCGUUUAUUUCAUUUAGAAAUAAACUUAGCUAGAAAUGUGAAUCAACUAGGAUUCGAACUUGGGUCUCGGAUACCAACCACCAAGUCCUUUGCCACUUGCUCUAGGGAUGGUCGGUUAGAUAAAUCAACUGUUGUUUUUUAAAAGUUUAGCUAUUAGAGAAUAAUAUUUGUAAUAUUUAUAUUCAAUAAAAUGAAGAUUAUAAAACUGCUAAUCUUUUCAAAAAGCAUCAGUUGGAAAUGCACAGAAGAGUUCAGAGCGAGCUUCUACUUAAGAGUUAAGAGGCUAAUUUGCUUCCAGAGCUGAGUUUCUGCUUCUAGGAUAAGUUCCUGCUGGAUGAAAUACUUGACUAUAAGCCAGGUGCUAGAACUAGCUUAUGUUUGGUAGACCCAAAUGAUGCUAACACUCUCCUUUUUACUUAACACACUUAUAAUUUUUCUUAAUUUUCUAGAAAAAAGGAUUAUUUUAUAUGAUUAAUUAUUGAUACAACAUCAAGAUUUGGAAUUUAAAGUAUGAUAAUAGAUGCAUAUUUGAAUUUCAGCGUCUCUAUAGGCAAGAUAACACGCAUCCAUCUCCCUUGCUUUUGUCAAAUCUUAUUAUAGUUUUCUUAUUCAACCGUGUCACUCGUACUCUAUAAAGUAAAAAUAAUUACUAAUAAAUGGACUUCACAAAAAACAAGAAAUAUCAUAACCCAAAAGAAGCACCAUCUCAUAAUAUCAAUUGAUAAUAUAGGCAAACAGUUGUUGAAAAGGAACAAGAAACAAUUUUUUCGUAUCAACAGGAAAGAGUAUGCUGGAUUAGAGACACUAAAACUAGUAUACCGUACGUCUCGCAAUAAAAUUAUCCACAUCUUUAUUCUGCAAAAAGGAUGAUAACUUCACCAAUUUAUCCGCAUCGCUUCCAUUAUAUUGGUAGACAAAGAAUAUCUAUUUCGUGCAUGAUGUUUCUCACGCUUACAGGUUUCCUACUGUUCAUCUAUAUAUGGCUCUUUUUAUAGUGUAACCGGGCUAUCAUUACAUCGGCAGUAUCUAGUGCAUAAAAUUUAAUGAUUGAUACUUAAGACUUCGAGUUCUAAAUAUAAUGUUUUAUAUAUUUUAAGCUGAGUUUAUUUUUUAUAUUGUGUUUGAUACAAAAAGAAACAUACUAGAAUAAAAAAUUUUGAGUUUGAAAUUUUAUAAAAAUUCUUAUAUUAUUUUAUUAUCUUACAUUUAAUUUAAAUUCAUGUAUUGAGUGGAACCGAUUAAAAAUUUUAAUGUGAAUAACAAACUAAACGAUCUAUAUCCGAAUUAUUAUAAGUUAAUUAUAAAAAAUUAUUAUUUGGGCAUAAACUUAUUCCAGAAGUCAACAAUGUAAAAGAGUCAAUGCUCAUCGUACGAGAUAAAAUUAGUUCUAAAUAAAAUAAACGAAUCAAAUAGCUAGCGUGCAACCUAUCUCUAAAAGAAAAUAAAAAAGAGAAAAAAAAAAAAAAAAACAUAACCUUAAUAUCUAGAUCUUUUUAGAUGUUGUAGAUUGCAUCAAAUAAGUUUAAUGUUACUUUUUAAGGUUCUUAAAAUCGAGUUUGAGGAAACAGGUCUACGGUGGACAAGGUCCAGGCAAAAAUGUAUCCGAAGAUAGCGUUUUUGUCCUGUUGUGCGACACCUGCAUCUCCAAGUCUCCACGUUUUGCCCUGCGGGGAACCGACACCUUUGAUUUCAUGCCGUACCGAAUAUCUCCACCGUCGGAUCAAAAAGCCGAUGAUGGCGUUAAUUCCAUCUCAAUGGUGGUGCGGUGGGUCCCACGUCUAUUUGAAUAUAGAUUUGCUUACUCACGCCCAUGUAUAAUAAUGGGUUAAUUCCAUACAAAUCCUUUCUAACAUAGUAAAUGAUAAACAUAUCCCUACAAAAGUUAAUUUUUAUGUAUUGUUCCUACAAAAGUUUUAAUAUCUUCAAAUAUGGCCCAGCCGUUAGAAUCCGUUAGAAAAACUUAGUUAACCAUAAGUUAAAUACUUAACCCUGAUUAAUUUUUGAUAUUUUUACUCAUCUUAUAUUAUACUGUUAUAACUUUUAGAAUGACAUAUUUGCGAUGGCAAAAUUGAAAAUAUAAACGAUUUUUUAACUGUAAUAAACCAGAGGGAUAUAUUUGAAAAUAUUAGAACUUUUGUAGGGCCAACAAAUUAAAGUUGAAUUUUUUAGAGCUAUAUUUGUUAUUUAUUAUAUUUGUAGGGAUCUGUAUGAAAUUAACCCAAUAAUAUAACUUGCCAUACUUUUAAUUGGUACGUAUUCAAAAUGAGUCUGAUCCUAAAAAAAAGGAAAGAUAAGUAUCUGAUGCGUAAAGCACAGUAGGCUUGUAAUAUAUAGUACGAAAUGAACACAUUAGGAUAAAUUUAGUGAUCUUGAUCAUGCUAUCAGAAAAAACUAAUGCACCUAUAUAUGCAGUGUGCAAUUAUUCCAUUAGGGUGCGUUUGGUUCAAGUUAUCCUGGCAGGAUUACAGGCAAUCCUGUCAGAAUAACUGUGUUUGGUUAAUCCGCUAUGUAAUCUAGUCGUUAAUGUAACAUUACAAAUCGAGCAGGAUUACAUCGAAAAUAUUAACGGGAGGGGGGUCGUGUAUCUUGCAUUACUGAAACCCGUUAAUACUACAUAUUAUGUAAAAUGACAAUUUGACCCUCCAAUAACCCAAAAUCUAAUUAACAGCAUUAUUUUCAUCUCUCUCUCGCCGUCCCAUGGCCCUCUCUCUCGCACGCCGCUUUCUCUCGCUCUCUCUCUCAACGUCUCUCUCUCUCUCUCUCUCUCACACGAACACCUAUCAUCUUCUAUUGCGUCGUCCUCCGAAGUAAUCAUCACGAUCUCCUUCCCUCCAUUCAUUAUUUCCGUAAAAAAUAAUAUUCAAAUGACCACAACAAGGAUAAUUUUGGAAAAAACUAUACUUUUAUGUCAGGAUUACUAAAUUUUAUAAACUGAACCAAACAUAUUAAUACUAUAAAUACUGUAAUCUAGUAUUAUAUUACUGUAUUAAACCAAACGCUCUAAUGCAGCAUUAGUAGUAAUCUCACGCCGAAAUUCAAAAUACCUGGAUAUAUCGAGAUACUUUGUAAUAUUACAUAACUCAAACCAAACGGGCCCUUAUAGUUAAAUUGUACUUUACCAUUCAUGUACUUUAAUCUUCGCUUAGACAUGGCUUUACGCUUUAAAGACAAGUGUCCAUCGGGUUUUUUUGCUUUUAGUUACAACUAAUUAUAAUAGCACGUCUGAUAAAUGAAAGAUUCUUGAAGUUCUUUAACUAAAAGUUAAAAUAAAAAUUUAAAUGUCUAUUUCACCUGUGCUACAGAGAUAAUUAAACUAUUUGGUAGAGAUACUACAGUAGAUCUCUUUUAAUAAUACUAUGUAAAAAGAAGAGAGACAGUCUAACAGAUUUAGUAGGCUGCUGGUAGAUCAUUUGGAAGGUCAGAAACGACUUGAUCUUUAGAAGAAUCCAACCAAAUCCAGAAAAAGCUAUUCUCAAUCUCCAGUAAUUAGUGAAGGAGUGGAAUUCACUUUUCCCAACUUGAACCCUUAACUUAACCUCCUUUUGGAGGCCCAGGAUGCCUCAUUCUUAUAGCUUAGCUCAUUUAUCCAAUGAUUGAAACCGGUAGCGCGCUAUCUUUUUCUCAAGAAAAAUAAUACUAUGUAAAAAGUACUUUUUUUCUAAAUCAGAGUGGAACGAUCCCUUACUCUUUACUUCGCAUUGGUUACUUGCCAUGGAGGGGCACUAGGUUAAAAUGGUGAGCCCCACCUAUGAGCUACACGCCAGGCAAACAGGCCUUGGUGCCGGCUGCACCUCACCCACCACUCGCACCUCAUUCAUGUAUCAGUCAUUUCUGGUCUAUUAAUGUCUCUACUUAAUUACAAACUCAAAAAUUCUAAAUUUCUCACUUCACGACAUAUGCGCGUUGACUUGUUAUAAUACUAUGUACAGAAAAGUUCUAUACGUAUUCCUGCAGCUGUAUAUGAUAAUAUGUUUAAAAUGUUAAAAUUCAGAAUCUUUCAGCGUCAGGGUUAGAUCGUGCACCCACUAAUACAUCCUCCCUUCUCAAAUAUCAUGCGUAUGAAUUUCGUGGUACCAUCACUUGUACCAUAAAACCACACUUUGGCCCCCACCUCUUCCACCACCAAGUCAUUUUACCACCUUUUUUUACCUUUAACUAUAUAUAUAAGGGUUCAUAUUCCGUGCAUUAGCGUGUUAUUGGCCGAGAAUGGAUAAGCCUUUGACGCCUACAUCCAUUACGCUGCUUAAUUUAAUUGGCUACACCAAUUAUUGUUCUCUUAAGAUCCUUUAAACUAUUUGGACGUGUCGUGACUUAUUAGAUGCAAUAAUAAUGUGUUGAACCCUCACGGUUAGAUGCGUGCAUAUCACUUAGGAUCUCGGCGAAAUUUUUUGUGCACUCCCCUUCUUGAUCCAAUUUAAUAAUCGAAGUGCGUCCGAGGGUGACGCAAACUUGCACGCAUGUUAAAGCCGAUUACGUAUCAAUCGAAUUAGGCUCUUAAUCCACUAUCAAUGUGGGUAAUAAAGGCCAUUACGGGCCUCCAAAAGCAAAGUCGGCGACGUCCAAUGGUUUGAGAGGCGCGGAGGGUAAACUCGUUGCCGAUUUCGGCGCGUCAACGUCGUGAGGACGUGGAGAGCCCUUCGAGUGUUGCGGCGUGACGAUCGUGGCUACUUUCAGGUGUCGAGUCCGAGACGCCUCUUCUUUGGUGUUGUGAGAUAGCCCGGCCCCCAACAAAAUUGCAUUGAGUAUAUAUUGUGUGUAACAAAAAUAAUAAUAAUAUUCAAUCUACUUUUCUAAAGGAUUACAUGUAUGAUGCAUAAUUAAAUUGCAUUGAGUCUGAUUAAUUAAAUAUGAUUUUUAUAAUCUAAUUGUAAAAUAGAAAUACUCAGCUUUUUAACAUUGGGGAGCUUUGUCGACACCAAACGAGUCAUAAUUAAGCUUUGCUACAGAUGAUGAAGUGUUGAGGGAUAAGCGACAUCUUAAACUAAGACUUCUUUUGAAAUUAAUUACGGGCACAAUGCGUUAUACAUGACAAGAGAGUUUGGUGACAAAAUAGGUCCAAGAUUUACUUGGACCGAACUCGGGUCCAGCCCACUGGCUCCCUUGCAUGGGCCAAACUUGAAAGAAUGGAUUAGAUUUUUUCUUUACCCUCUUCAAUAAAUUACGUUUUAGAUUUAAUCUUUAGAUUAAAAAAACAACGCACUUAACUUUUUGAAAGCUUACACAGAUGAAACCUAACCUCUAUGGAAAAAGAGAGAGAGAGAGAGAGAGACUUAACCCUUUUGAGGAGGAAAAAAAAAAAAAUGAUAAAAUGGUGGUGUAUUUAGACACAUCAUUUUUUUUUCCAACGCUAUAAUUUGGUAAGAUAUUUUUUAUCUUUUAAGGAGAGUUAAAUACAUGUUUUUCGUAUCUAAAGGACAAACUACAAUAUACGAUGUGUUGAGAGAGGUUAUCUUCCUUUUAGCCUUUCUUUAAUAUGGACUAAGGUUAUAGUUAUUCUAUAUAGUGAUCUUCAUCUUAUUUGGAUAGUAUAGAUAUUUAAAUGCGGCACUAUGUUAAUAUUUGCAAAUUACACCCUUAGUUGCAAAUUACACCCAUUUAUAAUUCUGUCUAUUGAGCAUCUCUACUACCACAAUCUGCGGGAACAUACGAUAAAGUCUCACUCUGAAUAUCAAAUGACAUCCAAUAAUUUCGUUGUUGAUAAGCCCCUAAGGUGUUAACGGUACUGGCUUUUGCUAUCGCGACACAAAAAUACCUCUGAUCUACUAAGGCAACUGUAUUUUCCGGCGGUGCUACGAAGUCAUUACCAUUCUCAAAGUGGAACGUCAUGCUGGGAUAUGCAUUGAACCCCCCAUGCGGAAUCUUAUAACACUCCUCAAAGUCCCGAUGGUGAUGGCGAGCUAGUCUGAAUCGCUGAAAAUACUCUUCGAAGGUAUUCUUGACUCGCUCGUAAGGUCCACCGGUGUUGAAACUGGCGUACGUUGAACCGGAAUCGAUGACGAAACCGCCUUUUAGUAAACCAUGCUCCGACCGCACCCUAAAGGUUCCUGGCGGGAACCCAAUACGACGGUUUGCGAUGCUCACGUCGACAAGGGUAACGAAAUAAUCAAUCUCGCUAUGAACAUUUGCGAUAGGAGCACUUUUAACGUUAGGCCCGCGCAAUACGGCACUCUCACCUAAUUUCAGAACACUCGGGCGGUUGAUUUCUCUGCGGAGACAGUACGCAAACUUACCAUGGGUUUGCACUCGAUUCGUUUGGCUUAUAAACGAAGUGCUCCUUCUGCCAAGUCCGGCAAUGCCCGACACAAGGAUGCCUAAAAGGUGGAAGUUUUGGCUGUCGUGGCUGCAGCCGAUGGCGACGUUAUGCACAAAUUCGAAACCGCCAUGGUCAGAAGCUAAGGCGAGUGUUUCUGUCGCGAGAACUCCCCUUGUUAGUGCCGGUUGUCCGUACCUGUAAGUGUAGUGGCACUGGUGAUUAAUGCAUUGGAACACUCUUGGAUUCCUCAAAUCGCAUAACGGAUGGUCGCACGGAAUCGGGGCAAAGCUCUGUGAGCUUCUCGGGUCGAAAACCAAGUGAUGAGGGCUCCAGCAAUGGGUGCACGGUAAGCAUUGUAGCCACACGAGGCCGCUGGAGGUGUCCAUCAUCAAGUACCGGGCUUGUCCGUGCUCUCGCGCAUGUCGUCGGGUACCGAUUCCAAUCUCCAGAACGUAAAGGCCGGAAAUGAAUUCCACACGAGGUUGGACGCGCGUUGUGUUGUAGUUGAUUGCCGGAGACGACAUUCUCGACUCAAUCGUUUGCGUUCGAAGAAUUGUGUAGUUAUAUAGGCGACUCAUGUGCUCUUCGGCGGUAAGGUUUCCCGGAUAGAGCGGAGAGUGGAUUGAGUCUCUAUGGAUCAUUCGAAGCUGCAGAGAUUGGAUAACAGAAGAGGCUAAUGUAAAAUACAUAACUAAGAAAAGGCUAUACAAGGCACUGGCCAUUUCUUCUAUUAGGUUUCACUCAUGAGCUUGUUGCAACAUCUUGUCUUUUAUAGAUGCAUCUAUAGUGCAGCAUUUACUAUGGAUAGUCAUAGCGGGGGAAUAAAGAUUUAGUGAUAGGUUUGUUGAAAAAGGAACAUAUAUAUGGUGUGUUUCAUUGUAUAUUUAUGUUCGCCAUGGCUUUUUAUUUAGUACUUUGAUGAAAAAGAGAUUACAAAAUCUGUGAAAAUCUUGAGAAAGUUUUCAGGGACAAUAAUUAAGAUCUAUUUCAACUUUAGCCUUAUCUUAUACUAAAUCAGUGGAUAAUAUAAAAAGAUUAAAAAAGAAACUUUUUUAAUCUCGAGAAAAUCUUGAAAAAGUCCAAAGAGCCAACCGGUGGUAGUUAUUUAUGAUCCGGCCCAAUUAUUCAACGGCCCGGACCACCAACUUUGAUUCCACAUCGGUUUAUUUAAUCCACUCAAUUAGGGAUGUAAAACGAGCCGGGCAACACGUGGGCCUUCCGGAUUUAGGCCGGGCCAGGCCAGGCUUUCAGGCUGUGAUGGGCCGCUUUUCUUUGGACCCAACAGUUUGGCAUGGUACGGCCCGAACCGUGCCUCGGCAAUGCCGGGAGAAGAUAAGCGGGCGGCCCUACACGGCACGGCCCGCUUGGGACGUGCUAACCGGCCCAGCACAGCCUGGAUCCCAAGGCCCAUGUCUUGGUCCGAGCUCUUGGGGAGCUCACCUCCCAACGCAGACCUGAUUAUUGGUCCAAUGGACCAGAGAAUUUUGAUCCAUUGGCCCAAAAGCUUAAUUUUUUUAAAAUAAUAAUAAUAAUAAUUCAUAUAUUUUUUAAAAAAAUUUAAAAAUUUAUUAUUUUAUUGUUAUUUUUAUAAAUUUUAAUUUUUUUUUUAAUCAAAACACUAAUUUAAAUAGAAAUAAUUUAUUAUUAUUUUUUUGUUUUUAAAAAAAUUGAAAAAUUAAAGGGCCGGCCCGGAGCAUGGCCCGGGCCGGCGCGGCCUGUGACUUUCGGGCCGGAUUUGAAGAGGGCCGAGCCGGGCCGGACUCUGGCCCGUUUUGGCCCGAUUAAUGUGGGCCAUGCUGGCCUAGUAUGGCCCACAUUACACACCUACACUCAAUGCUAUAUGUAAUAUCUAGUCUAUAAUUAAAACAAUUAGCGCAAGUGGCAAAAUAGCUUAAUAGUUAGUAGUCGAGUCCUAGUUCGAAUUUAUUUCUAAAUGAAUAAAUAAAGCAGGUAGCAUGCUACCUUUCUCUCUUUCAAAAUAAAAAAAGCUAAAUUGUAAAAAAUAAAUUAAAAAAAAACCUCCUUUUGCAUGCGUAUUGUUUUGUACUCUUACCUUUUUCAAUGAUAAAAACCUACAAUAAAGCACCCUCAAUUUUUUUGGACAAAUAUUUUAUAAGUAGUUUUUUUUUUUAAUAAAAAUAUAAGAACGAAUUGGAUGCCCUUUAUACAACCUCUCUUACAAAUUCCAACAAUAAUUAAGUUGUACUUUUUUUAAUUAGUCUAGAAAGAACAACUUGAAUUGAUUUUGCACGACUCGAAGGAGCGGUUCAAUGAUCUUCUAGUAAUUUCACGUGCUAUACAUAUAAUAUAGUUACGAAAUUUCACAGAAAUUGAGCUAGUUGAUUAAUUAAAACAAUUUAAAAGCUUAUGCAUUUUAUUUUUCAUAACUUGGAUCAUUUGUAUUUGUGCUAUUAUUUUGGAGCCUGGCAUGCUUUUCCUUUUUAAAAAUUAAAGUGAAAUUAAAGUAUGUUUCACGUUCGCCAUUCUUGGGCCCAAGGUUGGCUCGAUCGAGAUCGAGUCCAGAGCUUCUUAAUUAGUUUGCUCUCAUUCUCGAAAGAUCGAAUUAAUGGCAACGAUGAACUGGGGAUUUGAUUACAUUCUCUUGCACAGGAUAAUAAACACGAGCUCUAUGUUAAUCUACAAUAUUGAUCGGCAAAAGCUUCACGAGUAAAUUGUAUGAUCAUGCACUGUCUUUUCUUUUUCUUCUUAUUAAGUUAGUAGUGGCAAAUUACAACCACAUAUAAUGCUCUCUAUUAGGCAUCUCUACCACAAUCUGCAGGAAUAUACGAGAAAGUCUCUCUCUGAAUAUCGAAAGACAUCCGAUAAUUUCGUUGUAGAUGAGCUCCUAAGGUAUUAACUACAUUGGAUUUUACUAUCAUGACACAAAAAUAAUUCUGUUCUACAAAGACAACCACAUUUUCCGGCGGCGCCACGAAGUCGUUACCGUUCUCAAAGUGAAACGUCAUACUGGGAUACGCAGUAAACCCUCCAUGCGGAAUGUUAUAACACACCUCAAAUCUGUGAUGGUGAUGGUGAGCUAGUCCGAAUCGCUGAAAAUACUCUUCGAAGGUAUUCUUGACACGCUCAUAAGGUCCACCGCCAUUGAAAUUCGCAGCCGCCGCACCGGAAUCUAUGACGAAACCGCCUUUUAUUACACCAUGCUCUAUCCGCUCCCUAAAGGUACCUGGCGGGAACCCAAUACGAUGGUUUGCGACACUCACGUCCACGAGGCUUACAAAAUAAUCAAUCUCGUUAUGGAGAUGUAAAAUCGGCACAGUUUUAACGUUAGGCCCGCGCAAUUCGGCGUGCUCACCAAAUUUCAAAACACUCGGGCGGUUGAUUUCUCUCUGGAGACAGUAUGCAAACUUACCAUGGGCUUGUGCUAACUGAUUCAUUUGGCCCAAAAACGAAGCGCUCCUUCUGUUAAAUCCGGCAAUGCCCUGCACCUGGGUGCCUAAAUUGUUGAAGUUUCGGUUGUCAUGGCUACAGCCGAAGAUGAAGUUAUGCACAAGUUUGAAACCGCCGCGGUCAGAACCUAAGGAGAGUGUUUCCGUCGCGAGAAUUCCCCUCGUUAAUGCCGGAUCUGCGUACCUGUAAGUGUAGUGGCACUGGCGAUUAACGCAUCGGAACACUUCUGGAUUUCUCAAGUCGCAUAACGGAUGGUUGCACGGAAUCGGGGCAAAACUUCGUGACCUUCGCCGGUCGAAAACCAAGUGAGGAGGGCUCCAGCAACGGGCGCAUGGUAGACAUUGUAGCCACAUGAGGCUGCUAGCAGUGUCCAUCAUCAAGUACCGGGGUUGGCGGGGCGCUUGCGCACGCCACGGUGUGCCUAUCGCAAGCUCCAGAACGUAAAGGAAGAAGCUAACAUGCAGGCGAGGUUGGAUGCGCGUUGCGUUGUAGUUGAUCACGGGGGACGACAUUCUCGACUCAAUCGUUUCGGCUCGAAGAAUUGUGUAGUUAUAUAGGCGAUCCAUGUGCUCUUCGGCGGUAAGGUUUCCCGGAUAGAGCGGAGAGAGGAUUGAGUCUCUAUGGAUCAUUCGAAGCUGCAGAGAUUGGAUAAUAGAAGAGGCCAAUAGGAAAUACAUAGCUAAGAAAAGGUUAUACAAGGCACCGGCCAUUUCUUCUAUUAGGUUUCACUCAUGAGCUUGUUGCAAUAUCUAGUUCUUUUAUAGAUGCAUAUCUAUGUAUAGUGCGGCAUUUAUUAUGGACAGUCAAAGUCAGGGAAUAAAGAUUUAGUGAUUGUUUUGUUGAAAAAAGAGCAUAUGGUGUAAUUAUAGUAUAUUUAUGUGAGCCUUGAUUUUUUCUAAGUACUUUAGUGAGGAAGAGAUUCCAUGAUAUGUGAAAAUCUUGAGCUUGUUGCAGUAUCUUGUCUUUUAUAGAUGCACAGUGCGGCAUUUAUUAUGGACAGUCAUAGCCGGGAAAUAAAGAUUUAGUGAUUGUUUUGUUGAAAAAAAGAGCAUAUGGUGUAAUUAUAGUAUAUUUAUGUGCGCCUUGAUUUUUUCUAAGUACUUUAGUGAGGAAGAGAUUCCAUGACAUGUGAAAAUCUUGAGAAGGUUUUAGAUACAAUAAUUAAGAGCCACUUCAACUGCAGCCCUAUAUUAUUCUAAAUUAAUGGAUAAUAUAUGUAUAAUAUAAGCUAGGUGAAAAAAGCUUUUUAAUCUUAAGAAAAUAUUGAAAAAGUCCUAACAACCAAUCGGUGUUAGGCUGGCUCUAUUUGGCUAAGCCACAGAAAACAGUGCGGUGUGGAAAUAUUAAUUCUAUGUGAAAAAAAAAAAUUUACGUAGGCAUCGGGCAUGUCACUGUAGUUGGCCCUAUGAGUUCCAGUUCAAGCUAGCGAUAGUACCCUAAUCUAAGACCUUAUUUACCUCAUCUGAGAUAAGGUGCUACGCGAGUUUUUUUUGUUGCUUGCUAAGUUUAUUUUUCUUAAUAAAUAAACUAGAUAACUUCCAUCUUUUUAUUUAAAAGCACGAUUUUCACAAAAUUAAAACAUGUUACGCGUCUGUCAUUCUUAGAUCCAAUAUUUUUUCUUUGAGAGAAAGAUAGCACGCUACUCGCUUCAUUCAUUUAGCAGAUGAAUUUAACUAUAAACUGAAUGCAAAGAAAAACUGUGGAGCAAUAAGGCGACUCGUAUGUUCAAUGAUCUUAUUCAAAAACUUGCGCUCCUGGAUCUACCUAUGAUUAAUCAAUUAUUCACUUGGUCUAAUAUGCAGCGUAACCCAACAUUUGCAAAAUUAGACAGAUUUCUAAUCUCGACUGAGUGGGAUGUGAAAUUCCCACUUUCGAAGGUUGAGGCUAUCCCUAGAAUUACGUCGGAUUUACGUCGAAAUUCAAUGGAGCCAAUUGGCUUCUUAGUUCGCUCUUAUUUUUUAUCAAUGUAUUGACAACGAUAAGAUUUCAAAUUACGCCAAUUUGUCUCUGCUCUUUCUUUUUAAAAGCUAAUAAUUGCAAAUUACGCCCAUUAUUCUGUCUAUUAAGCAUCUCUAGUACAAUCUGCAGGAGCGUACGAUAUAGUCCUACUCUGAAUAUCAAAUGACAUUUGGUAAUUCCGUUGUUGAUAAGCUCCCAAGGUGUUAACUGUCUGAGAUUUUCCUAUCAUGACACAAAAACACCUUUGAUCUAUCACAACCACAUUUUCCGGUGGCGCCAUGAAGUCGUUGCCAUUCUGAAAGUGAAACGUCAUACUGGGAUAUGCAUUAAACCCCCCUCGCGGAAUCUUAUAACACACCUCAAAUCCGUGCUGGUGACAGUGAGCUAACCUGAACCGAUGAAAAUACUCUUCGAAGGUAUUCUUGACACGCUCAUAAGGUCCACCGGUAUUGAAACUGGAAUAUGCUGAACCAGAAUCGAUGAAGAAGCCGCCUUUUAACACGCCAUGCUCUAUCCGCACCCUAAAGGUACCUGGCGGGAACCCAACACGACGGUUUUCGACGCUCACAUCGAUAAGGCUUACAAAAUAAUCGAUCUCGCUAUGGAUAUCUUCAAACGGGACCUUUUUAACAUGAGGCCCAUGCAAUACGGCAUCUCGCCAAAUUUUAGAACACUCGGGCGGUUGGUUUCUCUCUGGAGACAGUAGACAAACUUACCAUUGGCUUGGCCUUGAUUCAUUUGGCUCAAAAAUGACGUUCUCUUUCGGUUAAAUCCGGCAAUGCCUGACACAACGCUGCCUAGAGUGUUGAAAUUUUGGCUGUCGUGGCUACAACCGAAGGCAAAGUUAUGCACAAAUUCGAAACCGCCACGGUCGGAAGCAAAGCCGAAUGUUUCUGUCGCGAGAACUCCCCUCGUCAAUGACGGAUGUCCGUACAUGUAAGUGUAAUGGCACUGGUGAUUGAUGCACUGGAACUGGUGUGGGAUUCUCAAAUCACAUAAUGGAUGGUUGCAUGGUACUGGGGCAAAACUUUGUGAGCUUCUUGGGUCGAAAACCACGGCAGGAGGGCUCCAACAGUGGAUGCACGGUUGGCAUUGUAGCCAGACGAGGCCGCUAGAGGUGUCCAUCAUCAAGUAUCGCGCUUUGCGGUGCUCUCGCGCGUGCCGCGGUGUGCCGAUCACAAGCUCCAGAACGUAAAGGGUGGGAACAAAUUCUACGCGAGGUUGGACGCGCGUUGUGUUGUAGUCGAGGGCUGCGGACGACAUUCUCGACUCGAUCAUUUUGGCUCGAAGAGUUGUGUAGUUAUAUAGACGAUCCAUGUGCUCUUCGGCGGUAAGGUUUCCUGGAUAGAGCGGAGAGUAGAUUGAGUCUCUAUGGAUCAUUCGAAGCUGCAGAGAUUGGAUAGCAGAAGAGGCUAAUGUAAAAUACAUAACUAAGAAAACGCCAUACAAGGCUCUGGCCAUUUCUUCGAUUAGGUUUCACUCGAGAGGUUGUUGCAAUAUCUUAUCUUUAAUUUAUUAAUUUAUUAUAGAUGCAUCUAUAUAUAGUGCGGCAUUUAUUAUGGACAGUCAUAAAUAGCCGGGGAAUAAAGAUUUACUAAAAAAGAGCCAUAUGGUGUAAUUAUUAUAGUACAUUUUAUGUGAGCCGUGGCAUUUUCUAAGUACUUUAAUGAGGAACAGAUUCCAUGAUAUGCGAAAAUCUUGAGAAAGUUUUAGAGACAAUAAUUAAGAGCCACUUCUAACUGCAGCACUAUAUUAUUCUAAAUUUAUGGAUAAUAUAUAUAAUUUAAGGGAAGAAUAGCUUUAGAAAAUAUUGAAAAUGAUCUCUCUCAAAAAAAAAAAAAAGAAAAUAUUGAAAAUGUACUCGGCCAUUCUUAAUGGGCUGAAAACAUGAUCUGGCCCAAUUAUUCACCGGCCCGGCCCACAGAUGUGAUUGAUGUGUUCGGGCCAAUUUGAAUCCCACUGUAUAAAUAGCGUUAUCUUAUCCGCUCCGCUCGACCGUUACGUGAGCGUUUCGUUCCCUCCGUGCGACGCUACCACUCUCCUCUCCUCUUCUUCCUCUUCGCGAUGCUGAGAGCGGAGCUCCUCCCUCGGUUCAAACCCUCGCCUCUCUCACCCCGCGCACCCAAAACCCUUCUCCUCUCUCGCCGCUUCGUCCGCAAGAUCCCCCCAAACCCUUCUUCCUCGAUCCCUCUCCCUCUCAAGAACCGCCUCUACAAUCGUCUCCAGUUCCGAUCAAACCCUAAUUUCCAGGUAUUUGAUCCCUUCCUUCCUCCAUUACCGGUCCUUUUGUAGUUCUUUCUUUUACCGGUUUGAUUCUUGCAGGUGAAUUCGCAGAGUUCGUGUUGCGGUGGUUUGGAGAUCGACGCAGAUGAGAUACUGGAUGUAGGGGAUAGAGAUUUGCCCGUUGAUCUCUUCUUGACGCGGACUCUUCCUCCGGCUCUCACGCUUAAAGCGGGGUAUGAGAAGAUAAAGAACGCGAUCGAAGAGCUGAAGACGAAUCCACCCUCUGCCAGUAGUGGUGUCCUCAGAUAUCAGGUAUGGCAGAUGUUUAGUUUCUAAUUAUAGUACUUUUUUUAAUGGGAUUGAUCUAUUCAUAAUGAUCAUUGAUUAGCUGCUUCGUUCUUUUUGAUUUAAAAUUUGAGUCGGUUCUUGAACACAUAACAUAAUGACAAGAAAAAAAAAAAACAAGAAAGUUGUUGUUCCUUUCCUCUUCUCAUAGUGGUCUGUUAGAUGCGAUUAAUCUAUUCAUGAUUAUCAUUGAUUAUCUUCUUUCUUUUUGAAAAAAAAAAUUGAGUUUCCUGAAGAAUUGAAAGGGAGAACAAGAAAGUUUUCUUGGAUUAGAAAGGCUCUGAAUUAUCAUGAUAAUGUAUUCUUGUUCUGGCAAUUGUGCUCUUAACUACUUUAGGCAAGAGCAGGCACCAACGUGUUUGGACUGUAAUGUUGCAGGUACUUGUGCCUCCGAGUACAAAGGCAUCAAAUUGGCUGUACCAUCAAUGCAGGAAUUUGUCAGGAUAUCCACAAUUUUAUAUCUGCACUUCACGAACUCAUGAUCUAUCCCUUGAAUUGGCUCCACGAAAUAAAUUGCUUGAGGUUUCUGGUUUUGGUACUGCAGUUUGUCUGCAUGGUUCUUCUCAUAUCCAAAAAGGAUAUAGUUUGCUGGCAAGGUGCUUUUUCUCUCCCUACCCAUCUAUGUCAGCAUUUUCAUAUUCAAUCUAAGAGCAAACUUAGUUAGAGGGCCAUCUGAAUUGAAGAGUGAUACUUAUCCAUAAUAAUUCUACAACUUUUGGUUUAAUUUCAUUUAUCUUAGAUGUUUUGAAUGCUUCAUCUUGUCAAAAACAUUUAGAAUUACAUAGCUCGUAUUAUUGAAUUUGUCGAUUCUACUUGAAUGCAUUGAUUUCAAUUCGAUAGAAUGUCAUAUCUAGGGUUGUACAGGAAGAACAAUAUUUCUCAUGAUCGGUUGCUACAUUCAGAGAUUAUGGAACAUAACACUUAGAUAAAGUACUAAAAUAAACAAUUAGUGAUCAUAGUCUAUAUAUUUCUAUUUUUAACUCAUAUUUUUACCACCUGCUAAAAUAUUCUAGUCAAAAAUUAAAAAAAUAUAUAUUUAUACAGUCAUGGUACAUUGAUUUACAAAUAUUAUAUGCUGUUUCGUGAGUUCAUUUGCUAACACAAUUGACUCUCUUUAGAUAUCUUUCAAGCGAUUGCCACCUGGUAAGAGCUUAUGGUUUCGUUGAUCUGAAUUUCAACAAGGAGCUAUCUUCAAUGGUGGAGAAAUCUGGUUCUUUUUACCUUUUUAUCCCUCAGGUGAAACCAUCUCGUUUCACUUCUGCAAUGUGUCCACUCUCAAUAUUUUCAUUAUCACAACUUAUUUUAUAUUUGGAUGAAAAAGGGAAAGUUUGCUAUUUAGUUGGAAGAUAUGCUUUCCAGAUUGCCUAAAUAUUCCGAUAGUGUUAGGAACCUGUUUAAUCUUUCAACAGAUGUUAGCCACAUUAUUUCAUGGUUGCUCUGUAUAGUUUCGGCAUACGAGUUCUGAGUUGCAUUUUUUUUUUUGGGGGGGGGGGGGGGCGGGGUGGUUGAUUAUGGCUAUAUUGUUUGAUCAAGUGGUACUAUCAUAUUUAUGCUCAACAAAAGAUAAUGAUAACAAAAUAGUUUAGCAAAUGUCUUAACUAUUUAGUUAUUCAUGGCAUUUUCUUGUUUACGCUAACAGCUAUCUAGUUGGAUAGCUAACAUUAUUAAUCAUUUCUUGCAACAUUCAUUGACCUAAUUUUCAGACCUCAUAAUCCAAUCUCUAUAUAUGUUUCCUGCAAUUUUCUAUAUUUUUUACACAUUGAAAAUUUUAAAAUUCAGCAACUAAGUAAAAAUUCUUAUUUGAGCUAUCUCAAGCUAGCAGACUAUCCUAGCAUAGAAUGUUAGAUAACCAUUUCCACUGUGGCACACAACAUUACUUCUUUGUCUAAGGAUUCAUCAAUUAUCACUGGUAUCAUCACUGGUAAGGAUGCUCAUACAAUUCAUGUUUCAUAUUAGUCUACGCCUCUGUUUGUACAGUUUUGGACUUUGAAUCAGAAUAUAUGGAUUGCAUUGUGGGUUAGUUUAAGCUAUUAUUAUUUGGCAGCAAUACUUCCAUGAAUUGUUCUUGGAACCAGCUUGCAGAUCUUUGUAGGUUAUUCUAUUUGUUAUCUGUUCCGAAGCCUUAUAGCAGUUGAUAGUUCUUUGAAUAGAACUAUGAUCUUGCGUGUCUUGGUCUACUUCAAAAUUUAUUCACAGAAAUUUGGAUUUGUGCAUUGAUGCUUCCUAAAUCGAGUUGUAAACUGCAGAUCGAGCUGAACGAAUUCGAUGGCUGCUCAUUGUUAGCAUCAACACUUGCUUGGGACGACUCGAUGUUGUCGUAUACAUUUGAGAGAGCAGUUUAUAUAUUUGAGUCAUAUUUUCACAAGGUAAUUAGAAUUUUGGAUCACUUUUCAAUAUCAUCUCACUAAUUUACAUUCAGAUGCCUGCUCAGAGACUGAACGUAUGAUCCAUUGCCUACAUGACAUGUCACACAAGCACUUGCUGUCCGCACUUCUAAAUGUUUUUAAUUGUCUGCUCAGUAACUAAAUAUCUUGACUCUUCUCUUCAUGAUAUGUCACUUUUUAAUUGUCUUCAUUUGCGUUGUCAUCAAUUUAAGGUUUUACCUUUGCAUUUUUCUCAAAAUUUCUUCUUCCAUACUUUCAACUGUUUAUUGCCGUGUUGUUAAAGAAUGGUAGACUUGCUGUCCGCUGCUCUGCCACUUUAUUUUUAACCUUUUUCCCCUCUCCAGUAGCUUUUCUUUUUAUCCAAAGUCGCAUUCUAAAUGCUAGGAAGUUCUAUAUAGAUGUCUAGUCAUGACCUGCUGAAUCAUAGGUAUAAAUCCUCACUUAUUUUUAUGGUUUUAGAAAAUUGAUCAAAUAUAGUGCGAUACCCAAGCAGGUAUCGCCGCACGAUGCCCACCGUGGCGAUGUUUUUUUUUUUUUUUUUCCCCUUCACCCCCAAGUGCUGCCGCGCCCACAACCCUCGCCAGUUGAGUGUUUUUUCUUUUUUCCUUCCCUCCCAUGUGUGCCCUACUCUUCUCUCCACUGAUGGAUUUUUUUUUUUUUUGAGAAAUAGGUAGCAUGCUACCGCUUUAUUCAUUGAAAGAUGAACUAAGCUACAGGGGUGAGGCAACACAGCCGCUAAUGGAUUUUUAGUGUUUUUUUUUGUGUUUUUAUUUUUAUUCUUCCCUCUACUACUCUCCCCUCCCCACACACCCCCUCCCACCGAUUGUAUUUUUUUUUUUCCUUUCCUCCCCCUCCGCUUUAAUGGUUUUUUUUCUGUGGUCCCCCCUCCCUAAUGGAAUGGAUCUUUGGGUAGUAAUUUUUUCCCCCUUAACGUUCCAUGUUUUUUUUUUUUCUCCUCCCCCCUUCUCCCCGGGGCCAAUGGGAUUUUUUUUUGGUAAUUUUUUUUUCUUCUUUCCCCCUACUCCCUAUGGAAAUCUUUUUUUGUUUUUUUGGCGUCCUCCUCCCAAUGUUUUUUUUUUUUUUUUUUUUUUUUUUUUUUUGGCUUUUUUUUCCUUUCCCUCACCUUCUGAUGGAUUUUUUUUACACCCCCCCCACCAGCAUCCCGAUGGUUUUUUUUUUACCUUCCCCCUACUCUCCCGUUUAGGGGUUUUUAGUUUAUAACUUUUGUAUCGGAAUACUGGGCUGGUUUUAAAUGCAUACUUCUUUUUUCUAGAUUUACCUAUGUAUAUCUGUAAGCUAAUAAUUAUAUAUCUAUGAACUUACUACUAAAGAAGUAUGUGUAUGUUUCUCCCUUAUUUUCUUUGAGAUAAUCUUCUUUUUUUUUUUUCCCUUUUUUGCCCUUUUGAUAUCUCUAGCAGAUGAUUGACUAUAUUGCUCCAGUUAACAUUUAUGAGAAAGAGCUGUGGAUGAGUUGCAGCUCUGGACAAUCAAAUGCGGUGAAGAUUAAAAAUGCUCAAAUGGUACUUCUAUUUUGGGAUUCAAUACUUCAUCUUGAACCUGAUUAACAAUAAUCAGUCUGUUGUAUGUUUCUCUGAUCAAUCAUCAUAUAUGUCAAUAAUUUUACUCUCUGAAAGCUUCUUUAGGACUUAAUAGGUAUAGACUGCAGCCUUUGCUAGAAGAUCUGAUAAUCAAUCAGUGGUUUGGUGACAAAAUUUGGUUUGUUCACACUUCUUGGACUAUUUAAUAUGAACAUACUGGCUCUAUCACUAUUUUAAAGGUUGAUUAUAUGGCAAUAAUACAAGCUUUUGAUACAAAGAACAAUUCCAUUGCUAAAAAAAUUCAAAAAAGCUUAUUUUCUCUCAAUAGGCAACAAUUUCUAAGUGUUAUUUACCAUAUGCUUUGGUAAAUGGGAUAGGGAUAGAUAGUAAAAAAGAAAAGAGAGAAUUGGGAAGCAGAGAGGGAGGAUAGGAAGCAGAGAGGUUUUCUUUUUUCCUUUUUAUUUUUUUUGUGUUGCAGUACCUUGUCUCAUAAAAUCUAAUUUCAAAGUAACAUUUUGUAUCAUAAGUUUUUUCGCGGGACACUUCUUUUGAACAAAAUAAUCAACCUACAAGUUAUUAGAUGGUUCUCAAAUACCCUUUCAAUAUUUGAAAAUUGGAAAGCAUAAAGAACAAAGAAGGCAUCAGUGGCAUCUUCAUCGCUCACCAACUAAAAGAUGUAAAGUGACAUAAAGACCUAAAAUUGAACGUAUCGAAAGCAAAAGUUUCUUUGAAAAUUGAACGUAUUGAAGCCAAAAUUUUGUUUUGAUGAAAAAUGAAUUUUGACUUGAGUCUGACUUAUGUUUGCACACUAAUACGUUUGUGUUGUCUUAUAUUCCUUAGGUGUACUUGAAUGCUCUGGUUCUUGCUAGAGCUGCUGUUGGAGCUAAUUGCAUGCAAAAGGUAUCUUCUUCUUCUCGGUAAGUUUCCUUGAACUUUUCAUAUUGAUUUCCCCUAAUAUUGUGAGACUCUAUCAGUCAUGUCUUUGCUCGAAGUGUGUUUUUUUUUAGAGAAACCUUGCUCAAAGUUGCAUUUAAUCAUGUUACUACAACUAAUGGUCUUGCUCGAAAUCUUACUAUACUCCAUCAUGACAUAGAUUGAAUGCAAUUUCUCUAUAUAUAGCUUGUCCAUAGGGUGAUUGGCAGUCAUAAUUUCUUUCAAUCAACUCUAGAUUGCAAUCUCUUCUAGAUAUAUUAUCACCAUGUUCAUGAACUUAUUGUUUUGUAGCAGGGAAAUCUUCCGAUUUCUGAUCAGUCUUAUUUCCGCUGUUCACAGUCAUUUUCUCUUACUAAUGACAUGGUACGAUUCUGCCAAAAUUCUCUUCUAGUUUGCAUCUAUAUAACUUUCAGACUCAAGAGGCUGUAGUAAACCAUAUAGGUUUGUUGGAACAUGCUGUCAUUUACUCCAGUUUUGAAAUAUGAUUGGAGAUUAUGGUUUUUAUAUAUGGAAAAUCCCUGCUGCUUUUCCUUGCAGCAUGAUUAUGAAAAUGAGUUUCAGAUAUUUAUUUUUUCACUAUUUUUUUUUCCUUCUGCUAGCAUUUUCGUUCCCAUGGAACCCAUUUGCCAAUAAAAGAGUGUUCCAACAUCAAUCUAGCAUGGGCGUCUCUUAUAGUUGAAGAAUGUGUUAGACUUGGCUUGACGGUGAGUCUCACCAAUUGAUGGUUUACUUCCUAUUUCUUGAAUACAUUUCUAAUUGCCUCCUUAUUUUAGUACUUCUGCAUAGCUCCAGGGUCACGAUCAUCACCACUUGCGCUUUCUGCUUGUGCGCAUUCCUUGACAAGUUGUGUUUCAUGUUAUGAUGAGCGCUCACUUGGGUUUCAUGCUGUCGGGUAUGCAAGAGGUGCCAAUAAACCUGCAGUUGUCAUUACAUCCUCAGGAACUGCAGUGUCAAAUCUUCUUCCUUCGGUGCGACUCUCAAAUUUCAUUUUAUACUGAUCUUAUUUCUUACUUCAAAUGAUAGUCCUUUCCUCGUUUUGUUCUUUUUAUAAUUUUGGGGUUGCUUAUUUUGUCAGCAACAAAAUUAUUAAAUCUUCUCACAAAGGUUUUUUUUUUUUUUUUUUUUUUUCUUUUUUAGUCUGAAACCUCUCUUGCCUUGUCUUGAAACUACUAAGUGUACCUUGUUAUAAAUUUGUAAAAACAAAUGAUCCUCCAUUGUUUUGCGAAUUCCAUGCAAUUCUUUCAGUUAAUAUGCAGGUGGUGGAGGCCAGUCAAGACUUUGUACCUCUUAUGUUGCUCACAGCUGAUCGCCCUCCAGAGCUGCAUGAUGCUGGAGCCAACCAAUCUAUUGAUCAGGUCCGAGAUAUCAUUCGUUUUGAUUAUUAUGUUGAGUACACAUCUACUCUUGCUUUUCUUUAUUUCACUUUAGGGUUGGAAUUGUUUUUACCAAUAAUCUUGAAGUUACAUUCUGAUUUUAUUACUCUAAUUUUUGCAUUGUGCUCAGUCUGAAUUUUGAAUAGGAUUCUGGCUCUGCAAUCAUCACUACAUUCAAAUUGACAUUUUUAUAUUUAAGUCAUUGGUAUUUCCUGUUGCCAAUAACAGUAUUUUAUGCAAUAUUAGUGCCCUUCACAUGUGAAUUGCACCUUGGCGAUUAUAAUUUAGAUAAUCUACAGAUAACUAGAUUAACUACCUAUUUUAUUUUCUUGGUCUUCUCUUGGUGCCGAAGAAAUAAGCUUUUUCAUGCCAAAGUGUGAUGACACACUGGAUUUUGAAUAGGAUUCUGGCUCUGCAAUCAUCACUACAUUCAAAUUGACAUUUUUAUAUUUAAGUCAUUGGUACUUCCUGUUGCCAAUAACAGAAUUUUAUGCAAUAUUAGUGCCCUUCACAUGUGCAUUGCACCUUGGCGAUUAUAAUUUAGAUAAUCUACAGAUAACUAGAUUAACUACCUAUUUUAUUUUCUUGGUCUCCUCUUGGUGCCGAAGAAAUUAAGCUUUUUCAUGCCAAAGUGUGAUGACACACUGGUAUUGUGUCAAGGCAUGCAUUAACUACCUAUUUUGGUAUGUUUUAGUUAUCUAGGAUAGGUUAUGCCACUUACAAUGUUAUGAGGAGGGUUUUUCGCAAAAUUUUAGCAUUUUCAAAAAUAAAAGGAUAUUUAUCAAAUUGAAAGUAGUGAUAGUUUUGUGGUGUAAUUGUCUAAAUGUAUGGAAAGUUAAGUCUUCUUUCUCAUCAUUGUUUGUAACUUUCUUACGCAAGCUUUGUGAAGUCGACUGUGCAAACAUCAUUGUUGUUGUGUUCUUCCUGCUAUACUUCAGGUCAAUCAUUUUGGAAAGUUCGUGAGGUAUUUCUUUAAUCUCCCUCCACCAACUGAUCAAAUUUCUGCAAAAAUGGUUCUAACUACUGUUGACUCAGCCGCUUAUGCUGCAACUCAAGUGCCACAUGGUCCUGUUCAUAUAAAUUGUUCAUUUAGAGAACCUUUGGAGGACUCAUAUAGAGAAUGGACAAGGGAAUGCCUACGAGGAUUAGAUAUGUGGUUAACAAGCAUGGAACCUUAUACUAGAUAUAGAAGAAUGCAAGGUUUGUAUGCAAGCAAUAAUUAUGCUAACUCAAUGACUGGGGUUUUGGAAGUAAUAAUGAGAGCAAACAAAGGGCUUCUGCUGGUUGGCUCUAUCCACUCUGAAGAUGACAUGUGGGCGGCAGUUCAGUUAGCUAAGCACCUUUCUUGGCCAAUUGUUACUGAUAUUUUAUCAGGCUUGCGGUUGCGCAUAUCAUUUACUUCAUUUCCAGAACUUAAGGAUGAUUUCCUUUUUAUAGACCACAUGGAUCAUGCUCUACUUGCUGAUUCUGUCAAGAGCUGGGCACUGCCUGAUGUGGUUAUUCAGGUAUGCGCUCUUUUUAUUUCAUUAGUUUUCUUCUCUUGCCGUAUAAUGUGCUUAGUUAAACAAACAGUUCAUAAAAAAAGGACCAUUAUAUCAUAGGUUGCUUUGUUAUUCUGCUCUGCAGCGCUUCGUGCCAGGUGAUGUUUAGAGUAUCGACAGAAUUUUUUUUCUUCUUAUCAGUUGAUAUCAUCAGCUUAAAAUGCAAAUGAAGAUACUCUUAGAUUCUUAGUUUUUCCAUCAGUGACUAAUUAUUGUUCAGUAUAUUCUUUUUACAAUCCUUAAUUUUUAUUAGCUAGGCUAUCUAGAAUAGCCCAUUUACGCUCAGUGCAUUUUCAAUUUUCCCCUUCCUCACGUGGCUGGCAUUUCCUUUAGAGCGGAUAUGAUUGACUAUGUUAAUCUGAUUUUCUGAUUUUGAAUAUUUUAUUAUUUUGGUUUGUUCUACUGUUUGCCUUCAUUUCCUUUUAAACAUACUUGUCCUGCUUUGACUGUGCAGAGGAUCUUGUUUUGCUUACAUUUCUCUUUUGUAUUGUCCACCAUUUUAGAAAAUUCACCAUUUCAUAUAAUUUUCUAAUAAGUCAACGAAAUGCAAAUAACAUAGUUAUGUUGUCAGAUAUCAUUUUCAUACUCAUAACCUGCUUAUGCUCAGGACUGCAAAUAAAAGUACUAUGGUAUUACAGAUAAAAAUAUAUGGUGUUCCAUCUAUGCUAACCUUUGUUAUCAGAAAAGUGGAAAUUUGGUAGUCUGCCAUUUUCUUAUAAUGCCUUCUAAGCUUCUAGCUCAUGCCGAUGACAGAUUGGUAGCAGGAUUACUAGCAAACGAAUUGGCCAGUUUCUGGAUCACUGUCCUCCAGCUUCAUAUGUCUUGGUUGACAAUCACCCAUACCGUCAUGAUCCUUCUCAUAUUGUUACUCACAGAAUUCAGAGUACCAUAACAGAAUUUGCUGAUGCAUUAUGUAAUGUCCAUUUACCGAAGAAGGCCAGAGGAUGGAGUAAUCUCCUGAAAGCACUGAAUUCAGUGGUAUGAACCAUCUGACUCUGGCUAGCUAUAUGUUGUUCUUUCUAUAAUCAAUUUUCCAUCUCCCAACAGCUUAUUUAAAUAUCUGUUAAAUUCAGUAAUUUUCUUCUUUUUUUUUUUUGUCAUCAACUCAUCUUACGGCCAUAUUACUUGCAAAAAAAAAUAGUAUACGUCUAUUAAAUUACCUUUCUCUUGGAAAUAGAGGGGGCUUGGCUGCAUAAUGGUUUCAGAAAUCAUUAUGCAAUUGUACCAAGAUUAUUAGGCCAAUUUUCUCUUUUUAGUCCUGUAUUUUUGAGCAACUGUUUUAGUUACUACGUGCUAUCUACUAGCAUAGCUGAAAUAGUACCAAGAUAGUCUUUCUUCUCUAUUUUGCUGAAGACAUAUCUAGCUUUAUCACUCAGUGGUUAGUAUAUAACACAUAUAUUGUCGUCAAGUAUAUGUUAUCCAUUUGAAGGUUACUUUGAUCUCCUACUGAGAGGCGGUAGCCGUGUUCUAGUAAAGAAGAAGAUGUUAUGCAGUAAUGUUUAAGAUUUGACUGCUAGAAAUCAAAAGUUGCUUUCUAGUUAGCCAUUUGUGUAAAAAACACACAGAUAAAUAUCAAUUCUACUAUUUAUCUAUUUGAUUUUACGAAUCAACAUUUGAAGUUAUGAUGGCUAGAACUGCUUAUGCAAUGAUGAACAACUUUGACCUUCUAUCUUGUCAUUUAUUCACAUAAUUUAUUGUAUCAGUUGAAUAUCUUUACAUAUUCCACAAUAAGAUUACAUUUAGUGUCUAAUUUACAUGUGCUUUUUUUAGGUUGCGCAGGAAAUAGCAUUUAAAAUCGACUCUGAAUGCAUGUUAACUGAGCCAUAUGUAGCGCAUGUAAUCAGUGAAGUACUUGAUAGUGAUACUGCCAUAUUUAUUGGGAACAGCAUGGUCAUUAGAGACUUGGACAUGUAUGGAAGGGGCUGGCGGAAGUCUGAAAAAACUAAAACUCAUGUGAUGUCAUAUCAGGAUCCAUGUUUCCAUGGUAUACAAGUUGCUGGAAAUAGGGGCGCAAGUGGUAUUGAUGGUUUACUAAGCACUGCUAUCGGGUUUGCAGUAGGAUGCAACAAACAGGUCGGUAGCUUUCUUUUUUAAUUCGCAGCAGAUUGAAAGCAGACUAAUAUCCACGUAAAUAAAAUAUACUGGAGACACUGAUAACUUCUAUUGAGCAGUUGAUUUUUAGCUUUCACAUCUAGACUGGUGAAACAUGAUUUAGGUGCUAUACUAUUUUGUACAACUAACUACUGUAAUAUAGCAAUAACCUGCCAGUUAAUAUUUUACAAUGUACAUAAUUGUAGUGUACCUUUCUCUUCUAUAUAUCACUAUUUGUGCAUAUAACAACUAUAGUAGACUGUCAAGUGAUAAUGUUUAUGAGUAUCUGUCAGGUAUUUUGCAUGAUCGGUGAUGUGUCUUUUCUUCAUGAUACAAAUGGGCUGGCCAUUCUCAAUCAAAGGUUUCACCCAUACUUAUUCAACAUUUAGUUGGUUAUUCCUCUUUGUCAGAUUCUCUUAUGCAUUUCUCUUUUAUCUAAAAAAAUAAUAGUUAAGUACUGUUGCUUUGUCUCACGCUUGGUGACUAGAGUCUUAUAGAUAGUUUGUUUGUUACAUCAGUUAUGUUGCCUGUAUUAUUAAUGUAAAAAUAGAGCCCUCAAUUAUUAUGCCAUUUUUAGAUAGACCCAAUCUUUUGGUUGCUUUGAAUUGGCAGUGGUGUUAAGUUUGAUGCUCUUUCUGCAAUUAACCAUUUACCAUUAAUGGAACCUGCAAUAUCAUUUGCUGCAAAGCAGUUGGAACCUUUAUUUCAACAGUGUCAUCAUUAAAUUUAAAAAAAAUUUACCAGUAUAACUUACUGAAAUCAAAAUAUGAGGGGUGUCAGUCUGAAGAACAAAAAAAAAAAAGAGGAGGUUAUUGGGGGUCUAUUUCCAAAUUGGCUACAGUUGAGGGGGUCUCAAUACAGUACUAUUUAUAAUUAACAGGCAAAAGGACAUUCUGAUUCUGUAUCUUAAGCAUGAGAGUACUUAAGCCAUCCUCUUGUUCUGUUUAUUUCAAACAAAAUUAGGAUGGUUUUGCCAGCAAUUAUAACAUGAAAUUACACUAUAGGAACUUAGGAACAACCAGAGUAGAACAUUACAGAUUGACCUAUAAAAGUUAUGUGAAGUCUAAAAUCUCUUUAAGUUCCUCUAUGUUAUGAUAGUAUAUGUUAUGAUAGUAUAUUUUAUCAUUAUUCCGUAAUCAUGGGUAUUUCUAGUUAUUUAUUAAUUGAAUUAAGCUGUUACCUCUUUCAAAUUUUCAAGCUUGUAAUGACUUUCUUUCUGAUUUUUAUGACAAUUAUGUGCCUAAUUGAAGUUUCUAGUGAACGACCAAUGAAUUGGUUGAAGAUUGCAACAUGAAUUGACUUUUCGCUGACGAUUUGGAGAUUCUAUAAAAUAAGAUUUAUGUAAGGUCAGAAUAAUCAUAGAGAAAGAACAGUUUUAGUGUGUAUGUGUUGAAAUCAUUGCCAAACUGCUGCUCUUUUUUCUUGAUUCUAUGUAUUCUUAACUAAUUUAAGUAAGAGAUGCCAUGUAGAUAACCUUGGUUAACUACCUCUUUCUAAUGUCCAGCUGAAUAUUCUUCUUCAACAAAUAGGAUCUUCAUGUGUGGGUUUUUUUUUCUUUUUUGGAGAAAAAGAAUAUGUGAAUUUUAUGAGAUAGCUUACGUUGGCAUCACAUUCUGUCCGUCUCAGUCAUUUUUAUUUUCUAUCUUUUACUUUUGUAUAUAAUAUUGAAGGGUGAGGAGGAAGCCUAUAAUUGUCAUUGUAAUAAACAAUCAUGGUGGUGCAAUCUUCAGUCUUCUGCCAAUUUCAAAUACAACACAUUCUGAUGUCUUGGAUAAAUUCUUCUACACAGCUCAUGAUGUUUCUAUUCAGAAACUUUGUGCAGCACACAGGUAAAGCUUUUUUCUCAUACUCUGUAAAUAAAUUCUCCUUAAUUUAAAAUGAGAUGGACUAAGAUUAAUUGCGAGCAUAUGUUUUCUGCUUAUGAUUUGUUGACUGAACUUGCAGUGUGAAACAUUUACUAGUUCAGACAAAAGCAGAUCUUCAAAUUGCUCUCUGGAAAUCCCAACAGGAACAGACUGACUGUGUAAUAGAAGUUCAGAGCUGCAUUGCAGAUAAUGCCAAUUUCCAUAGGUUUUAUCACUCAGAAUUAUCUAUCUAUUUCAAUGAAUGGUUGUGCUCUUAUACUGUAUUGACUUGUUUUCAUCGUUUUAUUUCAGAAUUAUACGUAUGUCUGCUUGUCAAGCAGCAACUCAAGCACUUGGCUUCCUUUUGGAUUUUCCAGAUAUUGAACAUGUCCAAUGUUUUUCUUUUACCAAGAUCGAUAAAAUGGAAUAUAUGUUAUAUCGGUAAAUCAUUAAGUUUUUAUCUAUAUCUCCGUAGCUUACUAUUAUUUCUGCAGUUCUUAUCUAUAUCUCUAUAGCUAAUGGAUAAUAGAAUGACUGGUCUCAUUAGUUUGAGUACAUUGUUACAGAAUACAACUUUUCGCACCACCUACUUCACGUCAAUUUGAUGAUGUUGGGAAUGAGUUAUUCCGUGAGGGAUUUAUUCUGAUUAUUCAUUUGGAUGACAAUACUGUAGGAUUUGGUGAGGUUUGUUCUCAUUCUUCAAUUGUCAUAUAUAUGAUUCUUCACAAGAGCAGCUGUAUUUUACUUCUCUUAACACAACUGUGCAUCUUGCACUUGUUUCUUCAUACGAGCUUAGUAUUUUCAGUAGAUAUGUAUUAUCUUGAAGUUAGAAGAUGUAAUUAAUUUUUUUGGUUGAUGGCCUGUAUACACAGUAAUAUUCCGCCUACAGAAUGGGGUAGACCAGUCUAAGAGUACUUUCCUAUGGACCUAAGAAAACAAUUUUUAUCUUCUGGUUCUGUAGAUACACUUAAAUGAUGGAUUUUGUUGAUGGCCUUCAAUCUUCUAGCAUGAGUUUAAGCUCUUAAGUUUUAUACCCUUCAGUCAUGGAAUAAUCCUAUCAUCAUUCACAAGAAACAGGUUAUUUACUGUAAAAGAGCUAUCUUGCUUCAUCAUGACAAAUAAUUUUUUAUGGUUUCUCAAUGUUUAGCAACAAAAAACAAUAUUUUCAAAGGCUAAGCAUAGCUGAAAUGACAAUGGUGAUAUGAGCAACUGUAGUCAAGCAAAGAUAGGUUGAGAUAUUAUCGUUCUUGUUGCAUUUUUUCAAAGAUACUCGAUUCUAGUUUCUAAGAGUAAGUUAUAAGAAGAAUUUGAUGGUUCAGGCAUUAUGCAACAGAGAUCUCCUAGCACAUUAGUAGCCUGUGUGAUAAAAUUCAGGUGUUAGGUCCCGAAGGGAAGUGAGGACCAGAAAACAGUUGAAUAGCACAAGGAAAAGUGCAUGCUGCCCCUUCUGUAGGUCAUUGGAAUUAACAAAGAUUGUGCUUGAUGCUGUAUCUUACAUAUUGAUUUCCAGAAGACAUGCCUCGUAUAGGUCAAACCACUACUUUUCAGUAGGCUAGCACCUUAUAUCUCUGCUCGAUGUCAACUACCAAGCAGGUUGCACCAAUUGAAAGUCAUGAAGAGAAUCUGUCAGAUGUUGAAGAACAACUCAGAUUUCUGCUCCACAGGAUGAAAGGCUCUGAGAUAGGUUCUCUUCUUCCUAUGCUGAAUGGAUGUUUCUCUGACUGGAUGUGGAGAAGUCUUGGAGUUCCUGUAGGUGAACUUACGUAGAUUUGUUUUCACUAAUAACCUGGAAACAGAAUUCCUGUCUGUCUAUUAUCAGCUAUCGGUGACUUCGUUUUUUUUGUUUUCAGCCGUCCUCUAUUUUUCCAAGUGUUAGGUGUGGCUUGGAGAUGGCCAUACUUAAUGCUCUAGCAGCAAAGCAGGGGUCUAGUUUGUCAGAUCUAAUUAGUGGAUGCAUGAGCUCCUCAGGAGAUAAGAAGUCACUCAGAGAUAAUACUCAAGAUUCAGCGAGUAUACAGAUCUGUGCUCUUGUAGAUUGUAAUGGCACUCCAAAUGAAGUGGCGUAUGUUGUCUCACAGCUUGCUAACGAAGGUUUCACCACAGUAAAAUUGAAGGUAAUCAGAUUCUUUGCUUUUAUCUGGAUUGAGAUAUUUUGAUUCUCAGGAUUCAAUUGUCAGUUGUUUAUCUUGUGAUUUGAGCAUUACUUUCUUUUCCUUUUUUCUUAGGAAUUGUCAGUCUGAUGUAUUAUUAGGUAAGCUAGAUGAUUUCUGUUUUUAAAUUCUGAAACAACAAGUUUUUGCAUGAUUUUUUUGUAAAGGUUGCACGCAGAGAGAGCCCCACUGAAGAUGCAGCCAUCAUCCAAAAAAUAAGAGAAAUGGUUGGGUACAAGAUAAACAUCCGUGUUGAUGCGAAUAGGAAGUGGACAUAUGAAAAGGCAAUCCAGUUUGGGUCUAGUGUGAAAAGCUUUGAUCUGCAAUACAUUGAAGUAUAGUGUAGAUCUCCUCUCCUCAUUGAGUUCAAACGUUCUGAAUAACAUUAAAUAUGAAUUUAUCUUUAUCUUUCUUCUUUCUCUUCAUGAAAUCUAGAUUACAGAAGUCUGCUUUGGCAAUUAUUUAAUAGCUUUUAGAGGGAGGACAUAGACCAACGUUUUAUCCUUUGUCACUCAGAUAUACCUCAUAGUUUUGCCCCGUUCCAUUCUUCCUGAAAAUCUUACGUUGUUUACAUGUUGCAGGAACCUGUAUGUCAUCAAGAGGAUAUUAUCAAGUUUUGUGAAGAAAGCAACUUACCUGUGGCUUUAGAUGAGACUAUUGACAAACUUAAAGGAGACAUCCUUAGUGAGCUCCAAAAAUUUGUACAUGCAGGAAUAGUUGCUCUUGUGAGUAAAACAAAUAUUAAAUUCUUUAGGACUUGCAUUUUUUAAAUUAUAUAUUUGACAUGGUUUUCAUGUUGGACCUUCAGGUAAUAAAACCAAGCAUUGUUGGGGGUUUUGAAAAUGCACGACUUAUGGCAAAAUGGGCUCAGUUGCAUGGGAAGAUGGCUGUUGUUAGUUGUGCAUUUGAAAGUAGUCUUAGUUUGUCGGCAUAUGUACAGUUUGCAUAUUAUCUUGAGCUUCAAAAUGCUGCAAUCUGCAAACUGAAAAAGAGAGAUUUAAGUAGAGCUAUAGCACAUGGACUAGGAACAUAUCGUUGGUUAAAGGAAGAUAUAUCAGAUAAAGGUUUGAAGAUUUGUGUGUCCCCAUAUAGUGACAAUGUGGAAGCUUUGGUAGAAGAUGCACACAGUUUUGUUCAGAAUUUCCAAAUCAACAACAAGAGAAUUCAAAGGGUUUACACUGAAGAACAACUGAAAUCCUACGUUGUAAAAGUUAAGAGUGGUAAUUUUUCUUGUUUAUUCAAGUUACAAGAGGCUGGUUCUUGUACAAAUGUAAGCAUUCUUCUUGCUUUUGAAAUAUUUUAAUCAAGUUGUCGGCAACUUCAAUCACAUAGAACUUCAAGGAAACAGAAAAGUAAAAAUAUAUAUAUAUAUAUAUAAAAAAGCAAUGUAAGACGAGGCCUAUUUCUUUGGUUUUAAUUUGUCUGCCAGCAUCAGAUGACAAAAUGUUGACUUUAUUUUCUACGAGUUGUCUUCUAUGUUAUUGAGUAUCUUCUUAUCGGAGAUUUUGUUAUCUCAACAAGAUUGGAUUUUCUUUAUUAAUUUUUUAUUUUUUGUAGAAAAAGGUGGUUAUCUUCCUUCAUGGGUUUCUGGGUACAAGUGAUGAAUGGACUCCCACAAUGAAGGCUUUGUCUCAUGCUGCACGAGGAAUUUCUGUUGAUCUUCCAGGCCAUGGAGACUCACCAAUGCAAUGGCAUAGUAAUGAGGAAUCCGAACAAAAAUUGAAACUCUCAGUUGAAACUGUUGCAGAUUUAUUGCUGAAGUUGAUAUGUGAUAUUACUGAUGAAGGGGUAAUUCUUGUCGGAUACUCAAUGGGAGCAAGAAUUGCAUUACAUAUGGCAUUGAGGUACAGUGAGAAGGUAAUAAGAUUCACAUCAUUUUAACAUUCUUUUUCUUUUUUCUUGUUUGACUAUGAGAGCUAAAGUAAGUUUACCAAAUAGAUCGAGGGAGCCGUUAUAAUAUCAGGAAGCCCCGGACUGAGGGAUGAAGCAAGUAGACGUGUUCGUAGAGCACAAGAUAAAUCAAGGGCUUGUUUGCUGUUAACUCAUGGAUUGCAAUGUUUUCUUCACACAUGGUAUUCAGGAAAUUUGUGGAGAAGGUGAUGACUCAAUGACUUAAUGCUUGCUAUGUAUAGUUUUUUGUAUUUGUUAAUGACUUAAAGUGGUACUACCUGGCCUAUUUAACAUCAAACAAAAUUGCUGUUCUUCUUAAUGACUGCAUAUUAUGAUGUUUGAGCCAUUCCUGUAACAUGGAUUCUUCACAGAAAGCAUUUGAUACUUGACUAACAAUUAAUCUUUACAGUCUGAGAGAACAUCCACACUUUGACCGCAUAAUCAGAAGCCGCACAAGGCAUAAUGACAUCAAAGCUCUCGCAAAGGCUUUCUAUGACUCGAGCAUUGGAGAGCAAAGGUAAGCUAUCUUCCUGCACUCUUAUUCUGUUGUUAGCCAAUACGUUUACUUGGUAUUUACGUACUCCUGCAUCUAAGCAUACCGUCUGUCAUUCAGCCAAGCCAUUUAGGGCUUGUUUGGUUCAUCUAUUUUGGGUAUGGAAUGGGAAUCGGUUUGAUCAAAUCCGGUUAAUUUUGUUUGGUUCGCAUGAAUUGGUUUGGGAUUCCUAUUCCGGACUGGAAUGGGAAUGGCCCAUUAGCCUUCAACUUGAUUCCGGUCUUCUAGCCCGGAUUGAGAUUUCAUUCCGGAAGCCCACUAAGUUCUCAAAGCCCAUGUGACUAUCUUACCCUCCUUCUCUUCACCCCUUUCUCAUCAAAAAAAAAAAAACCUAUCCUCUCUCAAAACCCUAUCCCUAACCCACAUCAAUAAAAGUUUUUAAAAAUAAAUUUGAUAUUUUUUUUGGAAAACUUAUUAGAGAAUAGUAUUAUAUUUUUCAUAAAUUUUAAAUAAUAUAAAUUUAUAUUUGAGAGUGAAAUUAGUAUUAUGGUAUCCUAUAAUUUUUUUAGUUUAUACGAACCAAACAAUGAAAUGUGAAUAACUCAUUCUAAUUUCCAAUCCACAAAUAAACCAAACGUCUUGGGGGAGUGGGCCAUUCCAUUAUCCAUUCCAAUUCCACCCUUGAACCAAACAAGCCCUUAUUGUUUCUUAAAUAGAGAGGAAGUGUCUUGAGUUCUAUCUACUUUUUGAAUUCAGAAUCAUCCUCUUAGAUUAUGCUUCAUUUGACCAUUUACUUCUAGCAUGAUGUACCGUGCCAGUCUCUGUAGGAGGCUAGUCCCUUUAUGAUGCCAAUAAUCGUGUGUUCUAUUGCAAAUAUUCAGAUUCAUAUAGGAGUUAUUGCUUGUUAUUAAUGUGUUUAGUUUGUUAUGUUUAUGGUUAGUGCAGAAUUUGAGAUCCUAAGAUGAGAUUUUUGGAACUGAUUCCUUUAAGAGAAUGUGUUAUCAUACCAAGUUGAAAAGUGUGUCAGUCUAACAAUUUACAAAGUGUAUGCCUCUGCUAUAUUUCUUUUACCCUUGUUUAAAUGCUUGCCAGAAGUAGUACAAUAGAGUUGACCCAAGAAUCGUGCUCUGUUUGAUAGGUCUCUGUGGGGAGACUUGAAACAUUGCAAGAGGCCUCUUCUCUUUAUUGUCGGGGAAAAGGACACGAAAUUCAAAGAGAUCUCUCUGCAGAUGUGCCGGGAAAUUACGAGCGUUUCCGGUGGCUCAGAUUACAGCCAAAAAGAGGAGCAAUGUGAAAGGCUCGUAAUCCCUGACUGUGGUCAUGCUGUGCAUCUGGAGAAUCCUCUUCCAGUAAUUAAUGCAGUGGGGAAGUUCAUAACAAAAUUGGCACGUAUAUGAGAUCCUCCUUACGUUGUUUAACAUGUGGAUCUUUUUCUACCAUUUGUUUUCCUUUUUUUCCAUUCAUAGUGAGGUCUAUUAAGGGGCUUUUCUUAAAUUAUGUGUGAUCUAUCUUCAUGAAAAAGAGCAUUUUCGGGCAACAACCCUAUCCUUCCCUUGUCCGAAAAAAUAUUCGGAACACUCUGGAAUUGAGUGAAUUGUUCACUGUGUUCCUAUUAUUUUCCCCCUUAGAUCCUUUCUUUCAACCAGCCGGUCACUUCAAUUUUGCUUUCUGCCGUGCACGUUUGAUCAGUUCAAAGCUCCAAAGCCCGCGCCUAUUUAAAACCUUCGUGGCUAAGGAAGAAGCAAAGCAACAGAGAGAGAGAGAGGUUAAGAGGAAAAGUAGAGAUGGGUCGGUGCCCGUACGCGGCUUUCUCCAAGGAUCAUUGGAGGCCCUUGUGCUUGAUUCCUGGAAUGGGAGGGGGGAGGAAUGCGGCGGCCUUACGAUUGAAGUUAUUUUUAAGGUGCGCUACUGUCUUGUUUGUUUGGUUCUGUUGCCUUCUGUUUUCACCUCUUAAAAUUAUCUUAGCAGCAGAUGUAGAAGAAUUACAUGCAUUAUCAUCCAACGCAAACGUGCAGCAUUGCAUUCUCAGAAUGAAAGCCCCCAAACUUAGAUAUGCCGACUAUGAUGGGCAUGUCAUGCUAUAACAACAAGUGCUACUACAACGUUCUGAGUGGGUUGUUUAUUCAGAUGUAGACCUGUGACUCGGCGGCACCGCUACAAAAAAAGCAGGUCAAGUUUAUGGUGAGAAGACACUAGUGUAAAGAAGCUGGGUUGUUGCUGCUGCACAAAAUGCACUUCAAUGCUAGCGUGACAGCCACGCACUAUGAGGUGAAUUGUCUGCGUUUCGUUUUCUCCUAUAAUUAUGCCUGUAAUCCGCGAUGCACCCACCCCCGAAAGGGACCUUUCUGAUUUGGAUUUUGGAACCCUCGACUCUGCCAGGACGCAAAACCACCGCAACAUCAACACUCGGUUCACCACAUUAAAAAGUUGUGCCAUAAAACGUCCCCGUUGGAAAAUUGACAUGGGGACUACUAGCAUUGUUAGGAGAUUAACAUGAUUCUCCCAUCACGUGGUGUCCACCUCCAUUAGUUAAUUCAUGAAUUAUUAAAAAUUCAAAUAAAAUAAUUCGUAUGUGAAUUUUUUUCAAACCAAAUUAUUUAAGAAUUAUUAAAAAUCAAAAUAAAAAAAUUUAUAUUUUUUAUAUUUAAGUAUGGACUAUUUUAAUCUCUUUUUUGUUUGAUUGUCUAUAUAUCGUGGUGUAUAAUAUAGUUCGCUAUUAAUUUUUUAUUUAAUCUAUUUUAUUUUGAAGCUCUCUAUUUCAAAAUUAAUAAUAGCUUGGGUUGAUGUGCUGCUUUCUCUGUUUUAUCAAAGAUAUAUACAUAUAAAUAAAGUGACAAAGGACUUGAUGAUUGGUAUCCGAAAUUUCAAGUUCGAAUCCUAGUUGAUUUACAUUUCCAGCUAAGUUUAUUUUAAAAAAAAAUAAAUAAAAUGGAUAGCAUGCUGUCUUUCUCUCUCCAAAAAAAAAAAAAAAAACAAAAAACAAAUUUGUCAACGGUUUAAAUUUCUCAUCUAACAGUGAGUUAUCUGUAUUGUAUUUGAAUACUAAGACGAGAAAUGUCAGGAAAGCAGUUUCCAAGCGUCCUUAAGCAUCCUCUCAAACAACACAGUUAGGUACUUGUGAGAAGACUGCAUUUUUCUUCAUGACCUAAUUAAAACAAAACACAAGCAUGCCGCUGCAGAUCUUUGCACGCAAGCAAAAAAACUUCACUUCAGGAUCAAUUCAAGUGUCUACUUUCUGUUAAGUUGAAGAAGGAUCAAGAGGCCCAUUCAAACGUUCCUGAGACUCCAAUAACAAAUCUUAGUAGUGUGAAUGACCUCACUAGUAAAAUCUUAAUAGCUCCAAAAAGAGCGCUAAAUUCCUGUCCAGACAUGUCCCGCAAAGCACAUGGCUUUGCUUGUCACCUAAUAAUAAGAGUCCCACUUUUCUCAUACAUUAAUUCAGAAAGUCCGACCGUCCUUGCAGUAGGUAGAAAUAUAUUCAUCUAUACUAAAACACUACAACAUUACCAUAUAGACAAUUUAUAUUGUAACUCUACAUUCACACAAAAUGUAUUCUUCAGAAAAUCUAGAAAAUUCGUAACACGCAUACAAGCACUUCUAUAAUAGUAAACAGAAAUGUGCUCAUCAGAUGAGAUCUCACAAACUAGAACAGGUAAAAGAGUCAACUUAAUAGAAUGCUGGUCGAGACAACAAGCAUGUCUGCUUACUGUGGUUGUACCUAUUACCUAAUUACAUAUGUAAAGACUCUACAAUAUCGGGUAUGUGGAUAUGUUUCACAAUGAAACCAUUCCAAGAAGGUAAUUGCCGGCAUCCAAACAUGAACAAAAUACAACCUUAAAAUUUAAAAAUGCAAUUGAUAGAGCAAUCAUAUUUUCACAUGGAACAUUUUUACAACUUGUGGCCUGUAGCACCACCAAAGCAAGCACUCAUUUUAGCCUUGCGAAAAGAAAUUGAUAGCAAAUUUGGUCUCUGACUCUCCAUAGAAAUGCUUAUCAGGCUUGUGGGAUUGGGCUAACUCAUCCUCAACCCAUACCAACAUAAAAAAAGUGAGGAAAUUAAAUCAGUAUAAAGGCAACCACUAUUAUGCUUAUUAGGCUGAUAUGCUUAUCAGGUUUGUGGGAUUGGGCGAGCUCAUCCCCAACCCAUACCAACAUAAACAAAGUGAGGGAAAUUAAAGCAGCAUCCAACCCCUAUUAUGUUCAGGUUGUGUGCGACUCCAGAUUCGACUCAAAGUCGAAAAAGAAGAAAAUCAUAUCAAGACCAAACAAAUGAAAAUUUAUGCCUAUGUUUAUAUCAAAACAAUUUUAUGAGAUCAAAGAAAGGCACUAGAAUAUCUAUGUUCAUGCCAAACAAAGAAUGAAAGGAAACACUAACAAAACAAGAAAAAAAAAAAAAAAACUAGAUGUCACGGAGAAUAAUGGUAAGGAAAUAGAAACAAAUCAAUUGAGUGAAAGAGAACGAAGGUUAUCCAUAUAUGUAACCUACAAAUGUGCAUGACGACGGCAAUAGCAUUGUAAAGAAACUAUCUUUAUGCACGCCCUGACAAAAAGAAAAGCCAUUGGCAAUUGUUGUAAAGUUACCAAUUGCAUGCAUGCCCCUCCAAAUCAUUAGUUGUUUGGAAUCACGCAUUUGCUGUCACAUUCCAUCUGCAAGGUCUGUUUAGACCAUGUCUAAUGUGUUUAAAUCCUAACCACUGUUUUGAAAUAGCCAUUUUAACCAAAAAGAUAUAGCUACAAAGAGAUUCUAUUGAGAACAGUACGGAAAUUGUGAAGAAUACAAGAAGAUAUAGCUACAAAGAGAUUCUAUUGAGAACAGUAAGGAAAUUGUGAAGAAUACAAAGGCAAUAAUGUCCUUUAUCCUCCAAAAGCUAAUUUAUAAAGGGGUAUGAAUGUAAAAAAAAUAAAAAAUAUUAAAAUAUAAAAAAAGUAAUGACUUGAAGGGCAUGGAUACACGUACUAACUUUAUAAUAAUAUUUACACCGUCACGCUUCUGCAUACGAGUACGAGUACAUGCAACAAUCCCAAUAGACAAGUAUCAAUUAAGAAGAGAUUUUUCUAAAGCAAUCAAACAUCAUAAAAAAUUCCCGUAUCAAUAUAACUUGGCUGUAAUGCUAGAGCAUACAUCUAUAAGCCCAGAUCAAUGCCCACAAUUUUAAUUAAACUAUCUAGACCCAUGCAUGAUCAUGGGUACAUCCCGUUUAGGCUGAGUUCAUGUUGGGGAUACACCCAAAUAAUGAGAGACAAUUAUUUCAUCAAGCCAUUUUGAUCCAAAUAAACAAAACCACAGACAGAUCCAAUAGACCAAUAUAUUUUAUUACACCAUGAUAUGCAAAUCAUUAAUCCAAAGCAUGAGAAAUGAACUCACUAAUUUAUAGCAAAAAGCUGUUAUAGCGGAGAAUAUCCCAGGUGAGUUCUUAUCCAAGAAAAAGGUGACCUUCAACCGCACCACCAGAAAACUUCUUCAGUUGAUCAAAUAGACCUCAUAUUCAAGCAACAGGUACUAUAAUGUUUAAUGUAACAUAAAAUAUAACAGCCUUACAAAGCUAUUAGGAAAUUUAUCAGUAUUCAACAAUAUAACAAAUACCCUGUCCCAUGGGAAACCUCUAAUAGAAGUAGUAAUUAGCACUAUAUUUUCUGCAAAAGAAAGAAGAAACAAACAGAAUAGCCAACAAAUUGUAUGACAGUCAUACAAGAAAAAGAUAUCCGCCGUCUUUACCUCAUUCUUUAAACUGCGUAUGCUAGCCCUAAAUUUCAGGUAAUAUUUCAAAAACAAAACCUGAAAUAAAAUCCGUUCAGAUUUUACCUCUGAAUAUCAGGAUUAUGCGUCGGCAAUUCAUACUAGCACAGAAAAUUCAUCCUGAGGUGCAUUACCACUGGCACUUCUCGCCUUCCACUUCUCAUAUUCAGGAUCAUCGGUAGGCAAUUCAUAGCGACAAAGAGGGCAUGUGUUCCUCAUUCCGAGCCAAGGUAAUAUGCACUCCUCGUGAAAAUGAUGCGAGCAUGGAAGCUGUUUAACCCUCUCAUCGACCAAUAUCCCGUCUUUACAAACCGCACAUUGGAUGCCAUCCUUAGCAAGAUCCUCUUCCGUCAGCACGACCGACGGGAGGCUCUCAACUGCCGACUUGGCAGCCGGAGGGCUUCCUUUGGCAGGGCUGUCGUGGCCCACAAACUGGCCGAAUAAGACCUCAUAAGCCUCGUAAUCCGAGGCGUAAACGAAACCCUCGUGGUCAUCCACAAAGUAGGCUUCUACAUCAUCAGGAUCCCUUGGAUUUCUUCCCAUGCUGUUCACCGCCAAGAGAACCUCCCACUCAAGAUUUCGCACCGCAUCCUCCUCGAGAUCCGCGUCCUCUUGAUCCAAUUCCCCAACCUCGUCGGAUCCGCUGCCAUUGCCGACGAUUGUGAUGCUAAGAACAUCCCUCUCAUCGACCCGGCCAUCCACCUCCUCCCACUCGAAAUCCUCGUUGGGAUCUCUCCUCUGAUCCUCGAUUUGGAGGCAAUCCCAACACAGAGGGAUGCCGAGAUCCUCCGGCAUAGCAUCACGGUCUUCGAUGCUCUCGGAAUCCGAAUCCGCCCCGAUGGCGACUAUCUGCCCGUCGGAAUCGGAAUCGGAGUCGGAGUCGAACGCAGCGAUUCUCAAACCCUCGGAAUCCACAGGGCGGGAUCUCGAAAACUCGAUGGAUUCAGAUGCGAAGCUAUUCCCCCUCCUCCCCAAAAAGAAAUCAUCGCCUCCCCAAUCCGAAACGGCCGCUUCCGCCGCCACCACAAUCCGAUCUCCAUCCUCAUCCCAUUCUCCACCGCUCUCAUCACCCCCUAAACCUAGAGAUAGAUUCAAACCCAAGGAAUUCGAUCCUACCUCGUCGUGGGGUUCGGGGAAGGGAUCCAUCGCGAUGUGAGGAAAAGGGCAACGGCGAUUGAACAGAUCGAGGGACAGAGGGGCGUGGCGAUCGGAGUAAUCGGAAUCGGAUUCCGAUUCGUAGGGAUCAGCGGAGAAUACGGGGACGAACGGAUCGCCGUCGCCGGUGCGACGGAAGGGGAGCGGAUCUACGGAUUCGAGGCGCGCUUCUUCGUCUUCUUCGCCUUCUUCGAGGGGGAGGAGGAGAUCUGAGGAGAUCGAAUCCGCCAUUUUUGGUGUCGACAACGUAAACGAAACACGAACGCAAGAGAGAGAGAGAGAGAGAGAGAGAGAGCGGUCGAAAGAAACGCUCGCUCUCUGGGGACGCUACGGGCGUUGGCUUCUGAUAUACGCCGGGAGGCACGUGAGUCGCACGUGAGGGGGAAGGGGUAAUUUGGGAAUUUCGCGUUCCGCAUAAUGGUCAAUUCAGGCGUAUAAUAUGUGUCGAAAAUCUACCGAUACGCGCCAAACUUUUCAGAAUAUUAUUUGCCAAAUUUUUGUUUUCUUUUUAACUUACAUUUUGAAACACAGUCACUAAUUUUUGUCCAAAAAAAAAACAAAGGAUUGUUGCUAAAUUUCUAAAAAGGGCGAGGUGCGGUGAGAAUAACACCAUGGUGAAGGAACGGUUGGGAACGGGCGUAGGGAUGUGCCAGGUUGGGAAUAGCGACGUGUGGACGGUAUUGAUGUAACGAUAGGGGAAAAACCAUCGGUAGAGAUUUGGAAAAUUAAUUUCUUUUAGGCUUUUAGUUGAUGUGUCACUUUGAUAGCACAAUAUGGUGAUCAUAAAUAAUAUAUUCGUUUUCUUAUUAAUCAUGUUUUUUUUUCUUUAUUUAUUUAGAAAUUAUAUUUUAUUGUGCAUAGUCUCUCAAAUUUUUUUUAAUAAUGUAUAAUAUUUUUGGAAUAUUGUUAGUGGUAUAAUAAUCUCUACAAUCACGCUAUGUAAUCUUGAUUAGUCCGUGUCAUCUGACUACUAGUUUGCAAAAUGUAUAAUAAAAAUAUAUUCUGGAUAUUACUUGUGCGUACCAUAAAGUUUUGUUUUUAUUAAUUUGACUCUAAUUUGUAGCACUACGUGCCUCUCUUUACCUAACAAAACAGCAUUUUUUCUUCGCUAGCAAACAUGCUAAUUUACAAAUCAAAGUAUAAAAUUUUGGUUGUAGCUACGCCGUAAAGUGUCUCUUAGCCACCGUUUGGUUGGGGGUUAAGGGGUUAGGGGUGGAAUAACCCCUUAACCCUCGAUUUAUACCCAAACACCACUCUUUUGGGAUGGGGUUAGUAAACCCCACCCCAAACUGGGUUAGUGGGGUUUACUAACCCCACUCCCCUCCCAAUUUUAAUCUCGCACGCAUCCCGAGCCUUCACCUUUUUCUUCUUUAUCAAUCAUUAACCCCACUCCCCCUCCCAACUUUAACCCCGCACGCAUCCCGAGCCCUCACAUUUUUCUUCUUUAUCAAUCAUUAACCCCACUCCCCCUCCCAACUUUAACCCCGCACGCAUCCCGAGCUCUCACAUUUUUCUUCUUUAUCAAUCAUUAUCUUCUUAUCCCACCUACUCCAACCAAACAUUUUUUUUUACUAUCCUAGACUAACUCCAACCUCCAACCAAACAAAAAAAUUUUUUAACACCAUUUUAACCCUGAACUUAACCCUAUUCCUGGAAUAGCUACUUUUUCUUAACCCCGAACCAAACGGGGGCUUAGGCUAUGAUUGUAAAAAUUCUGUUUCUUCAUGAAACAAAUAGAGUUAUAUUAAAGCAUUAAUCAAUAUUUCUGUAGAAUUACCAACCGUCUCUAGAGCAAGUGGCAAAAGGCUUGGUGGUUGGUACUCGAGACCUAAGUUCGAAUUCUAUUUGAUUUAUAUUUUCUGCUAAGUUUAUUUCUAAAUAAAAUAAAUGAAGCGGGUAGCGUGCUACCUAUCUCUCAAAUAAAAUAAAAAAAAAUUUUCUGUAGAAUUCACUAGUCCCACCAAAUCGAUAUUAUGAACAAUACCUAAUGAUGAAUUCGAAUUAUAUUGCUUGUACAUCUCCUCUCUCAUUUAACACAUUGAUGCUUAUCAUUAUUGCCACACCAAAUCAUUGUGUAGCUAAUUUAUAAUCCUCUAUGAUACAUCAAACCACAUUUAAAGCACCUCCAACAAUUCACAUAAAUGAUAGAACACCAGGUUAUUUAGAGGAUCCUAAAAAUUGUAUAAUUCGCAAGGCUUACUUAAAUUACUAGUCCUUCGAAAUCAAAAGCGUUUUUAAUUUUCAAAAUGAAACAAUCGUAAAAUGGAGCUCUCACGGCCCUUGACUCUUCUAAAUGGAGGGUCCAAAAAAACUUUGUAGCCCAAAAUUUAGUUUCUAAUUUAGGAUCGGGUUUAGUAAGCGCACUUUAUACCCGGUCCAAUAGAAGCCCAACUCACUCACCACUCUUUAUCAGGGGAAUGGCCCCAACAUCAGACUACUUCAUCCGCCGUCCAUCACAUAACUGGCACAACUCUUAAAGCAGCAUGUCAACGGCGGAUGGGGUUAGUCCCACACCAACCAAACCAUGAAAAUUAAUUAAUUUUUUUUAAAAAAACUGGUACGCCCUCUCGCUAUCCCUUUUUUUUUGGGUAUACUCGACAAUCUCUCCGCUUCUCUCCGAAUCCUCACCAGGUUGGUCGCCGUGUUCUUCGAAUUUCUUGUGUUUAUUUUAUUUUCUUCUUUAUUUCGUUUGAUUGUUUAAUUGUACGCCGGAUUCGUCGUUUCAUUGUUGUAUGCUUGUAGUUUUAGGGUUUGGAUUUUGGUCCGUGAUCUGGGGAUUUCCCCGAUUCAAUGCGAAACUAGAAGUAGGAAGAAAAAGGAAAAAGGAAAAACCCUAGGGUUCGAAGGUACCUGCAGAUGAAAAAAGAGUAUCAGGAUUGAUUUGUAUAUACUGUGUUGAUUUAUUUGGGUGAAAAAAAAUCACUAGUUGGAUGAUCCUCAUUUCGUUUCUUUUUAUUUUUUUUCUUAUUUUAUCCUGCUUUAAUUAGUUGCUCUUAUUGAUAAUCCAUUUGUUCUACGAAGGGUUGUUAGGAGUAAGUUUUUACCGCAAAAGCUGUGAAUUUUGCAGAAACUAAAUUUGAAUUCUAUUGAUGAUUCUGUGAACUUUUGGACUGUUCAUCAUUCAAAUCCUAUAUAGAAAACAUGAGGUGAUUACAGUAGUUUGAUGUUUCUUUUCUUUGAAAAUUUUGAAAAUUUCAGUUAUCUUAAAGCGUUUGAUCUUCUUAUCGAAAAAAAAUUAUCCUAUACUCUUUAGAGGGCUUGAUCUUUAUUUUUUUCCUCUCUUUCUUCUUUUUAUAUAUUAGCAAUGUCUUCGUAUGAAAAUGUUGUUCCUGGGAAGCUUAAGCUGAAGGGAAAAGCAUUAGAUGUUAAGGCGGGUGGGAUAAAGAAGAAAAAGAAACACAAGCAUCAUCAGGAUGGAGAGUCUCAAAGUGGAAAUAAUGAACUUCAAGCAGGUUAAUUUUUUGUACUUAGUACAAUGUUGCUAUUAUUCAUAGUUUAUUACAUGCUUCGUCUAUUAACAAGGGUCGUAUCAAUAAUAGUUGUGUUUAGCAAUCUCACAUGUGUAGUAGAGCUGAGAAUUUGUAUUGGUUGAUGCGCCUAACAUGUAAAAACUCGUAAAGUUGCACAUCAUGUAUACUCUUUUAAGUAAGAAGAAUUUUAAACUUGCUGCUAACCUGCUGUGGUGUGGAUCAGGUACAAUGAUCUUGGUUAGGGGCAGAUAAACAGCAAACUAGCAUAAAGCCAUAAAUUGUAGCAGAAAAACCUCUUAAACUGGUCGACUAACUUUGUUUUAUAUUCUCACUUGUAUUAUAUUAUCAGCUACUUGACAUGCAAGUGUGCAGGUCUCUGUAACCUUCCGCAACCUCGACCAUAUUAACUAUUUUCUUUGUCCGACUAGCUCACCGUAAAUCCCCUCCCUUAUCUGCACUCCUGCAUGAAAUAGAAGUAAAUAAUAAAUUAAUUAAUAAAUAUGUGAAUAAUACUCUAUUUCUCAUAACUAAAUAUCAAUGGAUCAAUUUCUUGGCCUUGCCAGGCGGAACAAAUUCUUUCUGGAGUCUUUAUAGGAUCCCAUCAACCUUGUGAGCUAUGCAAUUUGAUAGUAUAUUUUUGGGUAGAAAUUAUUAAUUUAAUCUUUUCAUCAGGGUGUGAAUUGCUCCAGUUUGAAGAUUGCCAUUAAUAUUAGAUAUGUUCUUCUCUAUCAUGUGACACAUUUGUUAGAUUUUUUUUUUCUCCAUUAAGGGUCUGUUUGUUUUACCGUAAGUGGGGUGGAAGUGGGAAGGGAAAGUAAUUUUCGGUGAAAACUAAUCACUUCCGUUGUUUGGUUCACCGUAAUUUUAUUACGCCCGAAAGUCUAGUUCACCCAAAAAGGUGAAAUUGACUUCGCCCUCCCACGGGGGCGAAGUCAAUUUCGGUGAAGUCGAAAAUAAAGCAAGAGUGGGUAAUGUGUUAGGGUAAUGUGUUAGGGUUAACUUUAGAAUUUUAUUUGUUGCAUUAUUAUAAUUUAUAUGCAAACAAAUAAUAUAAUUUUUUAAAAUUUUAUUUUAUAAUUAUACAUAUAUAUAUAAUUAUAUACAUAUAUAAUUAUAUUAAUUUUUAUUUAUUAUAAUUUAUUAUUAAUUAUAAGUUACAAAAUAAACAAUAAUUUCACUUCGGAGGUAACUAUACCAGGGAUGGAGAUAUACACUUUUUACGUCAUCUACUUUCUACCAAACAAACAACAGAACUCACAGAACUGCACUUCCACGGUUAGAAACAAACCGCAGAAGUGAAUUAAUUUUCACCCCAACUCCACUUCAACUCCAAGUCCACUUCCACCCCAAGUCUACUUACGUCGAAACAAACAUGCCCUAAAGUGAAAUUGUAUUCCUGGUAAUUUUAGCUAAAUCUGAUUCAUGCAUUCAGACUGGUAAUUUUGACUUUUAGGUGGAAGUUCGGAGUCAUUAGCUGAAACCAAUGAAGACUUGCCAAAGACCGAAAAGCUUGGGGGCGAAGAAAAUCCACCGACACAUGAUGAACACCUCACGCCAGCUGAGAGACGAUAUAUUGAACAGAGGGAGAGAAUCAACAUGCAUAGGCUGGCAAAGACCGCUAAUAAAUCACAUCGUGACCGGAUUGAGGGGUUCAAUCAGUAUCUUGCGAACCUCAGCGAGCAUUAUGACAUUCCGAAAGUCGGUCCUGGUUAGUUUGUUUAUGUAGGGUUGAGUGGAAAUAUAUCACACCGCUAUGAUGGUUCUUCGGUUAUCGCGAACUGUGUGGUGCUCUUUAUGAUGUUCUACUGUUGAGACCGUACUAUAGGGAGAAUUACUAUGCUAGCACAGACUCUUAGGUUAAAUCUUGGUAGUAAAUCCAAGAUUCUCCGUAAUGGUGUUUUCAUGUUCUGAUAUUUGUGUGUACUUGACGAAUCUGCUUAUUCUGUCUGAUUUUAUAUCAACUGGUUGCUUCAAGUUGAGUUUAUAUAAUAGUGUUAUUUAGAGUCCUAUUUAUUGGCACUACUUUUCAUAAUUGUCAUAAUUAGUUCAGGUUUAAUGCGGCCUAUAUUUAAAUGUACUGUAAAGUGCAUCAUGAAAUUGGUGUAAUCACGGCGAGCCUUUUUAUCUAUGGCCAGAAUCUGAGACAAUAGGAAAUAAAUGGAUUUACGCACUCUGCAUGUUUAUCAUGAAAUGGCACUGCUCAUGCAUUGUUGUGUUGUUUUAAACAAUUUGCUCUCAAUCUUUGAACCUCUGUUCUAUUUUUCCUUUUUCUUUCUUUGAGAAAAACUUGUCCGUUUUAAGCGUAAGGGCUCAUCUAUUGCUUGGUAAGGAGAAGAAUCUGAAUACUUCUGUUACACAGGUUUGAAGGGACCAAUGUUCGUUUUUUGGAUCAUCGAAUCUCAGUUCCCAUUAUGAGGUGAGAGUAUGGAGAGACCUUCACGGACUCGCAUGGUUAGUGACACAUUUUGUAAACUGCUAUUUGAUACAUUAUUUUACAUAUGAAAACUCCCAAUACAACCGCACCAAAAUCGGAUAUUAUUUGUUAAAAAAAAAAAAAAAGAAGAAGAAAUAUUAACAUCAGUACAGCAAAAUCUUGUUUGUUUCAACACCGUAGUCACGAGAUUUGGUUAUUCCAACUUCCAUUCACAAACAUACGAAGAUUGGCUUUUCGACUUAUUAGUGAUCUAAAUCCAAAAAUCUCUACAACACUGCUUUAUAUAUCCAACGGUAUUCCAACGGUCACUUCCGUUCCCCUCUCCUCUUCUUCCACCUCUCUCUCUCUCCCCAUUCUUAAUUCCUAACCAAACCCAAAUGGCUUCAUCAGCGACACUCCCUUUCUCCGUAAUCCCUCCACCCACCAUCACCACCUCCUCACCGAAACCCCCUCCGCCGCAAAACCCCAACCUCUCCGUCCUCCGCCUCUGCACCCACCUCCGCGAGGCCACCCAAGUCCAUGCCCUCAUGAUCAAAACCUCCCAAUCCUCCGACCCCUACUCCGCGGGGCGCCUCGCCGAAUUCUACGCCGUCUCCCCCGGCGGAAGCCUCGACUUCGCCGCGAAGCUCCUCGACACAUUCCGAGACCACCCACCGCCCAUGUUCAUAUACAACACCUUAAUGCGAGGGUACCUUCUCAAAAACCAUCCCCUGCAAUCCCUUCAUCUCUUCCGCGAAUUGCUCCUUGCGUCGGCCGAGCCCGAUCACUUCUCGUUCACUUUCGCACUCAAAGCUUGCACCCAAAUUCACGCUCUUCGCGCCGGAAUGCAGCUCCACGCCCAUGCAAUCAAGCGCGGGAUCGAUUCGAAUGCCCAUGCGCGCAACAAACUGAUCCAUUUAUAUGCAGUGUGCGGUGUCGUGCGCGAUGCUCGCAAGGUGUUUGAUGGAAUUACUGAACUGGACUUGGUUGCGUGGAACAGCAUGCUUGAAGGUUAUGCUGAUAACAAGGAUGGGGACUCUCUCCAUGAGCUGUUUGAUAGAAUGCCGGCUCGAGAUGUGGUCUCUUGGAAUACGCUGAUGGCGUAUUAUAUUGAGAUGGGCGAGUUUGAGGAGGCGGUGGAUACAUUCCGAUCGAUGCAGGAGAGUGGGGAAUGUUGCCCUAAUCGCGUGACUUUGGUUAGCGUGCUAUCCGCUAUCACCCAUUUGGGUGCGCUCGGUCAAGGCUUAUGGGCACACGCCUAUAUAAACAGAAACCAAAUUGAGCUCGAUGAGAACCUAAGUUCUUCGUUGAUUAAUAUGUAUUCUAAAUGCGGGUGUAUUGAGGGUGCAGUGUAUACAUUUCAUGCUACGAAUCGUAAGAGUGUGGAUACUUGGAAUGCUAUGAUAUCGGGUUUCACAGCAAACGGCCACAGCUUAAAAGCCGUCGAGGUUUUCUCCACCAUGGAAUCUUCCAAAGUGGGGCCGAACAAGAUUACCUUUGCUUGUGUGUUAAAUGCUUGUAGCCAUGGAGGAUUAAUUGACGAAGGAAUGAGGAAUUUUAGGAAAAUGACUGAAAUUUACAGGAUCGAGCCCGACAUUGGACAUUAUGGUUGCAUGGUGGAUCUUUUUACCCGUGCGGGCUUGUUCGAUAAGGCUGAAGAGUUGAUCCAAACCAUGCCAUUUGAACCCGAUUCUGUGAUGUGGAAAGCCAUACUCGGGGCCUGUAGGAUUCAUAAGAACUUUAUGCUGGGUGAGAAGGCCGGACUUAGGCUCAUUGAGGUGGCCCCAAAUGAUAAUGCUAGUUAUGUACUAUUAUCGAACAUAUAUGCGUUAUCGAGUAACUGGCGUGGGGUACAUAAGGUGAGAAAGAUGAUGUCCGAUAAAGGGAUUAAGAAAAUACCAGGGUGUAGUUCUAUUGAACUAGAUGGUGUGGUUCAUGAAUUCAUUGCAGGAGAUAAUGGUCAUCCAAGGAAGAGAGAGAUUUAUGAGAUGUUAAGUGAGAUGGGGGAGAAAUUGAAGCUUAAAGGAUAUGAGGCUGAUACUACCCAAGUGCUUCUUGAUAUUGAGGAGGAGGAAGUGAAGGAGAAUUCAUUAGCUCUCCAUAGUGAGAAGCUCGCAAUAGCCUUCGGACUUAUUAGCACAAGUCCGGGCACCACCAUUCGGAUCGUGAAGAACCUGCGAGUUUGCGGGGAUUGUCAUGCGGCUAUUAAGCUUCUCAGCAUGAUAUACGAUAGGGAUAUAAUAGUAAGAGACGCAAACCGGUUCCAUCACUUUAGAGAAGGAUCUUGUUCUUGUAUGGACUACUGGUAGCGUCUUAAUUUGAUUUACUAGCAGCAGGGAGGGGAUUAUGUGAAUGUUCAUUCAUAUUCUUUUCCAAUAUAAGAGGUUUAAGUUCUUCAUGCGCUCCAAUUGUGAAUAUUCCUACCUAAAAGCAUGAUGACAAAUUCUGUCGAACAGAGGAAUUGUUAGAAGAGCAUAAACCAGUAAGUUGUAAGAUGGUGUGUGUCAAUGGCUCAAGUUCAAACAGAGGAUCGAGGUGAGUCUUGAUCUGAACCAAAUAUUAUCUUGAUCUAAUCUUAUCCUAUAGUCUGAAAAGUUGAGAAGAACUUUGGCACUAAGGCAUCUGGUUUAAAUUGAUAAGAUGGUAAGGUAGCACUUAAACUGAAUCAAAUUACAGAGAUGAAAACAUAGUCCUAACUUUUAUUCAACCGACAUGUACUGUUAUAGAUAGUUCGAAAAAUGAUAAACAUGAUAAAUUUAGAGAGAAUUUGAGAAUAAUUCAUAUAAAUGCCAUUGAAAAAGCUUUCUUGAACUUCCACAAAUGGAAGAAAAGUAGUGGUUCUUGAAUAUCCUUGGGCCUAAUACCUUUACACAAGAUUGAUGAGAAUAAGUCCCUUAGUAGGGGCCUGGAAAUUGGUUUCCAGCUGGGGAAGGAUGGGAGAUGGAAGUGACAUUCUAUUACAACAAGGAUAGUACAAAUCUCUAGAGCAAUAGUUGUCCUCCAGUUUGUUAGCAAUCACAUCUAGUUCCUGGGGGAUCCAUCCACAGACAUCCACAGCUGGAUAAUUCUUAAAGUCAAAAAAAAAAGAAGAAAAAACAGAUCUCAACCAACUCAAGUUAAUGUUCAUCAAACUUUAUUAUGUUCAAACAGAUCUCCUCUGCUGUAAGAGUUUGUCAUAGGGCACAUGAAUGCUGUUUUCUGAUGUACACACUUCAAAUGUUAUGCCUGAGAUAUUGUGGCUCAUAUGUUUUGCCACAAAUUAAAAGAUCAUACACUCAAAAACAAAAGCACAAGUAAUAGCUCUCAAAUUUUGAUUUGAAUUAUCUGACGAACUUCUUUUAUUACUGCCUUUAUCAGUAACUGAACUCAAAAAAGAAGCUAUUAUAUGUGCGAUUUGUAUGCAUCUCAUUACAUCUUUGGCUGAUUUCCUGUUCAUAAAUCUUAUCACAAUUCUCUCAUUAUCUUUACAAGAGAAAAUAAUUGCAUACAAUGGUUAGUCAUUUUGAGGGACAUUUCAGUUAGGCAGUCUAUAACCUCUUUGAGUAAGCAAUGAAAUUUGCCAUCCAUGCAUGAUUAUUAUUUAUAAUGGUGCGACGUCGCUUACAACUGUAUUGAAGUGAUGAUGGGUUUUGAGAAUCCAAGGAUCCGUUUUGGAUGUUCUUAUGCAAAUUAUUGGUUGAAAGGAUUAUGCUUUGCUAAAACUCAAAAUAAUAUUAUUGCAUAAGUUUUAAGGGGGACAAACAGGCAGGUAGAUUCCACUUGUGGAACAUGUGGUUUAAGCAAUCUUUUAGCUUUUCCUUUUCGAAUAAAGGGGUUAUAUCUUGCAGAAAAUUUGCAAGAAGGUUUUCUGUGAUUGGAACCCUUGUAGCCCUGAUAUUAUGCAAAGAGCAAUGCACAAAUGGUUUUUUUUUUCUCUCUCUCUCUCUCUCUCUCUUUAUUUAGUAAGCAAGAGUCACAAAUGUUAUCUAAGCUCAAUUAUCCACAUCCAAUGAUUAAGAGUUAUGUUAUUAACUGAGCCAAAUUUACUACUGACGGAGAAAUUCACCGAAACUGAUCAUUGUUCACUUGCUAAAUUUGAUUAAAUAUGUAUACUUUGUUUUUUGUUUUUGUUUUUGUUUUUUUUUUUUGAGAGAUAGAUAGCAAGCUAUCCGCUUCGUUUAUUUCAUUUAGAAAUAAACUUAGAAAUGUGAACCAACUAGGAUUCGAACUUAGGUCUCGGGUAUCAACUAUCAAAUCUUUUGUUACUUGCUCUAGGGACGGUUGGUAAUGCGUAUACUUUGUUAAUAGGGCUUUUUCAGUAGUUAAGCACUCGAAAUCCUCUAUUUUCUAAACCAGCUGUGCACAAAUCAAGCUUCUGUUAUAUAUGAUUAUACGGGGAAAUAGGCACAAAAAUAGGUUACAAUCAAACAUAAGGAUGUGGACCACAUCUCUCACCUCUCUCUCUCUCUCUCUCUCUCUCUCUCUCUCUCUCUCUCUCCAAAAUAUAUCCUGUAAAAAUUGAAUAUGCAUAUUAAUUAUUAAAUAGUCUAGAACAGUGAAGCAGUACCAUUUCUUAGCUCAAUGCCAAUCAUUAAUGGGCCUUAUUAAAAACUCGGGUUGCGUAACUAGUCAUAGUGUACCCUUGGGACAAGUAUUUAACUAAUACAACUACUAAACAAUUUAUAUCCCCCCAAGGUGCUUAGCAACUUGCAAUUUAGUUAAUUAACACUCUUAUUUAGUAAAAUAAGACCAUCAGCGUACGCCAAGUGCGUAUAAUCAAGCUUAAAAAAUGCACAUGCCUUGCUGGUGAUUAUGAUUAAUGAUGAUAACCCAUCCGAGGAACGCCUAACCUAGACUUGUUUCCAAAAAUAAAACAUACAAACUAUAUAUAUGUAUGUAUCGAAAUAUAUUGCACAAUUCCUCUGGGGCUCAUUUUAUAGGCCGUGUCUCAACUAAUGCAUAAAUAAAUGUAUGUCACUCGAAGCAUUGUUUAAGCGCCACACUUCUGGGUCCACACCUGAUCAUAUGAUCUGGGUUCACUUAAUCUUUUAAUUUUAGGCCUAGUUUAUAAAUGCUUUUUUUUUUGUUUUUAUUUUUUACUAAAUGGACCGGGAGUAAUAAUCACUUAAAAGGGCAUUUGAGCACUGUGUAGGUGUACAUUUGAGUUAAUUUUCUAGUCAACAAACGUGGGAUGCAUGGUACUGUAUAUUAAUUAGAGGAGACCAUCUCACCGACACAAACUCUCUUAGUAAAAUACUUGGGAAAAUUAAGUCUCAUUAUAUCUCAUUGUAUCAUACACGUAUAUAUAUACACGUACAUAUACAUAUAUAUAUAUAUAUAUAUGGCUUAAGAGAUUCUCGUCGAAUCCUUCAGCAGAAGUAGCUUUGUCUUGUGCUUUAAGAUGGAUUUGGUUGUUUUAGUUUUUUUUUUAGCUUUUCCCAAAAGCAGAGCCAUGCCAACUAAUCGCAAAUACACUUGCUCAUUUGUUUACUCCUACAUGCAUCUUUAAUUGGCCACAUUAUGUUGUGGUAAUUAAGUGCCCCACCUAAAGUCCACUUACUAUUUAAGUUAAUUGAAUUAGAAAAUUUAGUAUUAAACUACUUUUUGGUGGGUGAAGGAAAUUUGAAUUUUGUUGAUAAUUAAUGAUGAACGGCUAAUAGCACAAUGAAGCUUAGCAAAAUGGGAAAAAAAACCGAAAAAAAUUAAAAAACCGCCGACAGAAAGAAGAAAAUCUGUUAAAUUAUAUGCUAGUAGAGAAUGGUUUUUUAAAUUCGACACUCCGCCUCACGUCUGGACUUAAAUUAAAUGAGAGAAAAUUAAAUUACAUUAGGAGCCUGACGAAACUCGAACUCAGAAUCUCUUAAUUUGAUAUCAUGCUAAAUUUCACAAAAUAAUCAUUUUUUUCAAAGAGUUUAAGAUAGCGGAGAGAAAGAUGCUGUAGUAUUUAUAUUCAACAAAAUCAAAGUUCAGGGGCAUGGUUCAAAAUGGCCAAUAGCUCAGGGGACUUCAUACAAAAGAUUGGCAAGGAAUAAUCUCUUACCCAUUCCAUCUUUCCAAGUCCUCUUCUUUAAAUUCACAUAGUAGAGGGAUCUUUUUGUCCAUUGUUUUUAUACUGUAGCAGGGGACUCCUUUAAGAAAAGGUGGGUAAGGUAAAUUAAAGGAAAGGUAAAGAGAAAGAAAAGAGGAUGAGGGGCUUGUUGUAACUUGUACAGUGAGAAAAGGUAAAGAGAGAAAUAACUUGUGUUUCACACCUAAUCAUCCCAAAUCAUUUCCCCUCUAAGGUUUUACAGCUACAUGUCUUGGAGCUUAAGGCUCAUAGUAGUUUAAUUAAUAAUAAAGGUAAAAAUAUAUAUGCACAUAUUAUCGGUCCCUAUACUAUUCAUAUAGUCAACUUAGUCGCUGUACUUUUUACUUAUAUAUUUUAGCAUCUGAACUUUUAUUUAUCUGCAAUAUAAUCUUUGUUCAAACUAUUUGAAAUUUUUUAAAAAAUUAAAGUUUUUUAUUUUAUGUUAGCGGAUUAAGAAACUUAAAUUUAAAGUAAAGGGAUGGAAUUGCUAUGAGGAGAGAGUAGAGGGAGUAAUAUUGCAUUCUUACACUUAAAUUAAGUUUUGGGGUUAAUUAAUAAUAAUAAAGUAAAAGUACAUGCAACGGGGGUUCCAUUAUUCUAAAGUUAGGUCGACUAAGCAAAGCACAAUUCCCAAUGCCAUAUAACAAAAGCAUCUCAAGUGGUAGGCUCAAAGUUAUCCUAGCAUGGUAACAUUAUAUUAGCAAAGACCCUAUGGAGGUUGUGACAUGAUUUUAUUAGAGAAAGUUUCAAUUGGUUUGAUUACCAAGGCAAGUAAAUUAUUAUCUUAUUUUCUCCUAUUGUGUUUUUGAUAUAUAUUUAUCUAGUCUUUGCAACUAAAUGAUAUGUUUUGUAGACUCGAACUCAUUAGUCUCUGUACAAAUUACCUGUUAGCGCGCACGCGCACGCACACGCACACGCACAAAAACUUUAUGUUUGUAAUCUUUACAUAUCUCUAAUUUUACGGUAAUUUUACGAUAUUGCAAAUCGAUUAGUAAAAUAAAAAAAAAAA